GGUCUAUGACGACAGGGUUUUUAACAUUGUCCAUGAUAAUAUCCUCAAAGUGAACGUCUGAGACAGCAGUACCCUUUGCAGGGGAAGCAGGCCAGGUUUUGAUCCUUACACCAUUAUCGGUAUUUGUAAUUGUGCAGUUCUUGAUAAAGAUUCCGGACACAGGUUCUUCAUCCUCAGUCCUUCCAAGGCUUCCGAUGCUUAUGCCGUGGCCUGGUCCGCAUGUAACGUUGGUUACAUGGAGUUGCUUGGUGCCAUGACCUAUAGAGAUGCAAUCAUCCCCAGUUCCAAUGGUUGUAUCUGUGAUGUUGAUCUCAGUUGAACGUCCCAUAUGAAUUCCAUCUGUAUUGACACUUUCUUUAGGCGCUGAUACUGUAAAAUCUUGGAAUGCCAACUUGUUGCAACCCAAAAGAUUUACGUGGAAAUUUUUGCUGUCUUUUGUUGUUAUUCCUCGAACUAUGGAAUUGGUGAUAAAAUUGAACCUCAAAUUCUGCGAAUAGUGUAAAAACAGUUCAAACAUAUUAAGACGAGUAAUGUCUCUUGUCAAAGUUAUGUUGUCAAGAAAAUUUUUAUAUUGUCACACUGAAUCAAAAUAACAAAUUAUCCACAUGAUCCAAGAUUUAGAUUCACUACCUAAUAUAUUCUCUUUUCACACGUAUGGCUCCGGCUGUCAGGCACCAUAUAUAUAUAUAUAUAUAUAUAUAUAUAUUAGAAGAGUAUGAUCAGCCGUUUAGUUUCACAAUCUAGCAAUUGAUUUAAAUUAUAAAAGAACAAGAUUUAAAUUAUCUUACAACAGCUUUAAAUUUGCAAUCUUUGUUUUUGUGGCAAUCAUUUUGCUUCCAAGCAGUUGCUCCUUGGCCAUCGAAAGUUCCACCGCCAGAUAAGGUGAGCCCAUCAAUGCGCUCAAAAGCUACCCAAGUAUCUUCUUUUGGGAGUUCCUUGAUAUGUUCCGGAGCCUGCAGUGUGCCUUGGAGCUGAAACUCAAUAGGACCUUUGCAUGGUCCUUUGAAAGUUGCCCCUACAAACUUGUAUGUCCCACUUGGAACAACAAUUUUACUUGCCGAUGUCGAUGCACAUGCAUCUGUCCAAGCUUUGCUCAAAGCCUAAUUAAAAACAUUGUAUAAAAAUUAAAAAUUGAAAUGAUUCGCUUUAAUUACCAAACAAUUCUAGAAUGGAAAUGAUUUUCCGCUUAUUCAUACUUUUUCCCAUGCAUAUUUAUUUCUUACUUUAAAUUAAACAAAUCAAAAGAAAAAUAAGAAUGUUCAAAAUCUAAAAAGUGCGUACGGAAGUAAUUUCUCUUCUAGUUAGAAAUAUUAGUUUAGCAUUUCAAGAAGAAUUGCAUAAGCAUAUAUAAUGCCUACCUGGGUUAUAUCAGAGUUUGCUUUUCCACCAUAAUUUGCACCUGUUACAUCAUAGACACCAGAUUGGGCAUUAGAUGAGGAUACUAACAACAAGAACACAAACAUUGACAAGAUAUUUUUCAGCUUCAAAUCCAUCUUGAGUUUUCAAUUCAGAAUGAGUUUCUUUCGUUUGGAAGUUUGAUGAAAACUUUAUUUUGGUUUCAUCGCAAUUUUAUACUUAGACUGGAAAGCUUAACGUCCUCAAAUUAUUUAGCUAAUUACUAGCUAGUUUUAUGGAAGGUGCCUUACCCCCAAAAACCGUGCACGAAAAAAACUAGCAGCCGUUGAAUAGUAAAAAUAUCUCAAAAUUUCUUCAAAAGAAAGGCUUAAUUACGAGCUUGAAAUUUCCUCACUCAGAAUAUUUCUUCCAAGAAACAAGGAAGUAGCCCCGAAUUAAGAUGUUUAAUUGCAGUGUAGUUCAAGAAUUAUAUCCUAUCAUUAGUAAUUAAUUAAGCUGCUUAUAGAACAUCAAUUACCACUACUAUGUAUGGCCCUAGGUUAGUUCAGUAUCAAUUACCACUUCAACAUAUAGUUCUCCAUGCUUUCUCCCCAAGUCAGUACUCGAAUUGUUUCUUCUAAGCAAACCCUAGUUGCUGCAGCCACCAGCACCCUGAUCAACGCCAACUCCACCACCGCGACACACCUACAACUUGUUUUAACUUUACGGCGUGACUUGUGGGAAUCCUCACAAUAAUAGUUUUAAACCUUAUCAUAGCAUGGAAACAAUACAAAGACAAAUUGGUACAUCAUUUUACUUGCUAGAUGGCACAUCUCGGUGUCUCCCUUUAUAGUCUACCUCUUCACUGACCGCAAAUUGGUACAUCACUUUACUUGCUAGAAAGACAAAGACAAGAGCAUCUACUAUGACGUACUCAUGCAAGUCUCGUUUUCUUUCUAAAGGAGUUUCUCUCCAUGACUAACGUUGUCGCUAACGGUUGUACCAAGAUCCCAUUCGUCUGAAGAAUUAGAAGCUUGCGUGCCAGUGCUUCUGCCUCGUUGGUGUUAAUUUGUCAAGGAUUGAGUGGCGGCUGCUGUGGUUGAGGAUUUGAGGGAUGGAAUCGUGGGGUUCAAUGUGGCAGUGCAGGGUCGUUUUAGGGUGGAAAGAGGAUCGCAUUCCGUGGCUAGGCUUGCAUGCAUCAAAAUUUCAACGAAAUAAAUAUUUACCAAUACAUUAAAUUUCGACAUGCCUGAGCUUAUGGGGCAUGCACCGAGGGUCGCACAAAUCGUACACGUGACAUGUGACUCAUCAAAACCAGACAAGUCAUCAAGUGACAUGUGUUGACACUUGACGGAAAGUAAUUAAUGAAUUAUCUUUAUUAAUUCUUUGAUUAAUUUCAAUAUCAAAACAAAUUAAUUGAUUUAAAAUGCCAAAUCAUGAAAAAGCCCAAAAUUAAGUCUUGUGUUUCUUUCGUCAAUAAAUCAAGUCCACAAUCAAGACCAAAUCCAACAGUAGGCAAGACAUGGAAAGCCUAUAAAUACGUGGCUCUAAGACAAACCCUUGUGGCAUCCGUUCAUUCAAGAUUAAGUCAUCGCCACCAUUAAAUCAACAACAUCCACAUUUUUCAAACCAGGGAUUGAAAAAGUGGAUUCAAGUUUUGUAAAAAGAUUAUAACCCUAAAUUUAUUAAUACAAAUUAUUACUUUGUAAAAGUGUUCAUGUAUUAUUUGUCUAUAAAUCUUGAGUUUACAAGGCUAUUGAGGGUUGAUUGUGAUUUUGUCAGGGUUGAGAUGUCGAACAAUGGAACUGAUGGAGCCUUAUGUGGUGGAUCUUGUGUGGUGGAUCAAGUAAAUGUGAUGUGGAGGGUAAUUAAAAAUGAUCGUUCAUUUUUAUGUACUGCUUCAAACUAUGCCCGUGCUACUUUAUAUAUGUAUUACUCUUUUGACUUGUGAUGUGGCUCAAUUGAUUAAAAACAUCUACCCCAUACACCCGAGGUCAUAAGUUCUAUUUUCACUUCCCCCAAUGUUUCCUUGCCUAAAAAACUCUUGUAAAAGUCUAGGGUUCUAGUAAAUAAAUGUGACUACUUAAGUCCAUCAGUUACAAGGAAAUAACUAUCGUUAGAAGGUCUAAACAGACUAAACAGAGUGUCAUUGUAGACAUCGAAAUUUCGUAAAUAAAUGUUGACCGAUAAAUCAAAGUGUCAACGCUCAUGUAUUACAUAAAUUUUACACGUAGCGUGUGACUCAACGAAAAUUGAAAUGAGUUGGAAAAGUCAUCAAAUAGGACACGUGUCAACGCCUGGCAGAAACGACUUAUUUCAUCUGGAAUAUUAUAUUCAAAAUUAGGCCUUGGAAAAUUCUAUAAAUACAAGCCCAAUUUCAUUCAUUUGGGGAACCAAUUCAUAUUACACCUUGAAGCUCUGAAGCUCUGAAGCUCCGAAGCUCUCAAGCAUCCAGGUUCCCGAAGAAUCAAGAAAGCUCUCUUCGUUCUUCGUUCUUCGUCCAUCGCUCUUUCAAGAUCAAGCCCCGACGGCCCUUGAAGAAAGCACCAUCGUUCAUCAUCCGUUCUUCCAAGAUCAAGCCCCAACGGCCCCUUUGGAUCGACAACAUCAACAAAUCCGCUCAUCCGCUGUUCAUCAAGCCCAAGCCCCGACGGCCCUUGAAGAAAGCGUUCAUCGUUCAUCACUGUUAUUCGAGAUCAAGCCCAAAAGCCCUCGAAGAUCCGUUCAAGCCCAAAAGCUCUCGAAGAUCCGUUCAAGCCCAAAAGCUCUCGAAGAUCCGUUCAUCACUAUUCUUCGAGUUCAAGCCCAAAAGCCCUCGGAAAUCCGUUCAUCACUGUUCUUCAAGAUCAAGCCCAAAAAGCCCUUGAAGAUCCGUCAAUCACCAUUCUUCUUCAAGAUCAAGCUCAAAAGCCAUUGAAGAUCCGUUCAUCCUCGUUCAUCCAAGAUCAAGCCUCGACGGCCCUUGGAUCAAUCGCACAUCCCACAAAUCAACACCUUACGGAGAUCGAAUCAGAGGAUCAAAUUAGAGAGAGAUUGUAACCCAAAAUCAUCAAAUACAUAAUAUUUGUUUGUGCGCGUUUGUUCUUGUCUCUUUCGUUUCAGGAAUUUUCCGUGUUCACAAAUUGGCACGCCCAGUGGGACGAUCUCUGCCUCUCAUCUCUUUCUCCGUUCAAGAAAUUCAAGCACACUUCCAAAAUUAAUGGCAUCAAGGAAGGCUCAAACUGUUCCCGCAACCGGUGCAAAGAACAAAAGCGUCCUCGUCGCAACUGGUGUCACUUUGGGCAUCACGACUCGAAGCAUGGCAAGAGCUACUUCUGCCGCUCUUUCACCUCUGCAUCAAACUCUGCCAAGGGGAACAAAAGCACCCAAGGCACGAGCCUUUGAUCACCUUAGCCUCACUAAGGGCACCAAGGGGGGAAAGCCCAAGGAAAACACUCCGAAUCCAUGCUCUCCGAUGCCGAUUCAAGCGACAGUUCAGCCAUGCAAGUCAUGACCAUUGGAGCAACUUCAAUCGAUGAAGCAGCUGGCUCAAAUGAAUGAAGCAAUCGCAAGGCUAACCCGAACUGUGGAAGAAAAAGACUUGCAAAUUGCAGCACUAGUCAACCGACUGGAGGCGCAGGACGGCGAUAAACCCGACCCAGAAGAUGAUCCACUAAAGGGAGGAGCUGGCGGAGACGAAGAACCCCCGGUGAAGAAAAAUCGAUGGGAAGCCGGAGCCAGACCAAGCAGCGGCACUCAUGGGAUCUCUCUUUCUAUCCAGCAGCUGCAGGAGAUGAUCACCAACACCAUCAAGGCACAGUACGAAGGGAGCUCACAUACCUCCUUGUUCUACUCGAAGCCCUAUUCCAAGAAGGAUUGAUGCCCUAAAAAUGCCGAGGGGAUAUCAACCACCAAAGUUCAUGCAAUUUGAUGGAAAGGGAAACCCGAAACAGCACGUUGCCCACUUCGUUGAAACUUGCAACAACGCAGGAACCGAAGGGGAUUACCUCGCCAAGCAGUUUGUGCGCUCGCUGAAAGGAAACGCCUUUGAGUGGUACACAGACCUAGAGCCUGAGUCCAUCAACAGCUGGGAGCAGUUAGAGCGGGAAUUCCUCAACCGCUUCUAUAGUACCCGCCGCACUGUGAGCAUGCUAGAACUAACGAGCACAAAGCAGUGGAAGGACGAGCCAGUCAUUGACUACAUCAACAGAUGGCGCACUCUAAGCCUCGACUGUAAAGACAGGCUCUCGGAAACCUCUUCAAUCGAGAUGUGCAUCCAAGGCAUGCAAUGGGGUUUGCAAUACAUCCUUCAAGGCAUUAAACCACGGACCUUCGAGGAAUUGGCCACUCGCGCUCAUGACAUGGAGUUGAGCAUCGCUCAUCAUGGGAAGAAAGAACCGAUCGCCGACUACAAGAACGACAAAGUUCUUGGGACAAAGGUGGAAAAGGCUGCAUGGAAACCCACCAAGGAAGCGAUGACGGUCAACACAGCUCCCGUCAAAAUCUCCACACGAGGCAAGGCGAUUCAAACCGAAGCUUUUCGUGAUCAAGAGAUGCGUAGACGCACUUUGAAGGAGCUUGAGGAAAAGAUUUAUCCAUUCCCCGACUCUGAUGUAGUUGCCAUGCUGGAUGACCUGUUGGACAAAAAGGUGAUCAGUUUGCCUGAGUGCAGACGGCCGGAAGAGAUGAAUCGUACCGACAGUCCAAGGUACUGUAAAUUCCACCGCUUCAUCAGUCAUCCGACAGAAAAAUGUUUUGUGCUGAAAGAUCUCAUCAUGAAGUUGGCUCAGAAAGGAAUCAUCGAGCUAGAUCUGGACGAUGUGGUGAAGUCAAACUAUACCACCUUCACUUCUGGCUCUUCCGACUCAAAGUUUUCACCUCAACCGUUGGGGGCAUCCUCCAAGACAAGCAAAGUUGAAGGAUGGACUCAAGUCACUCCUAAGAAAUUGCACAAGAAGCAUACGUCUCCUCCACAAGUCCGCCAAUCGGAAAGGGGGCAAAGCAGCUCUUGUCAACCUUCGAAGCAACGUGAACGUGUUGAAGAUGAUGAAAUUUCGACAUAUAGAUCGUCCAUCCCCAUCACGAUGCGUGAUUUCUUGCCCGAAGACUUCUUCAAUCACUCGGUCAAGGCUCCUUGCUAUGAAGAUUGUGAGGAACGCCUCUCCAAAAUUGCUUGACAAAUUCACCAAAGCUCAUUGUCUGUAAGAGCCUAAACUGCAAGACACAAGGCUCCUCGCCCGCACGAGCCUAAACUGCAUGGCACUAUGCUCCUUGUUCGCACGAGCCUAAACUGCACGAACCAAAGCUCCUCGCCUGCACGAGCCUAAACUGCAUGGCACAAUGCUCCUGGUCUGCACGAGCAUAAAAGGCAACACCAACGCUCCUUGUCUGCACGAGUUGAAACUGCAAACGACACCAACGCUCCUUGCCUGCACGAGUUGAAACUGCAAACGGCACAAAAAGAAAAUACCAAGAAAAAAAAAAUAUGCAUGUAUUUGAACUACGUUACGACUUGAUCUCUUCUUUAGAGGGGUACGUAGGCAGCUUGAAUAUUCGAAAUUUCGAGUUCAAUCACAUCAAAAUCAAAAGAAUAAAUGUUUUAUUAAAGAAGGUCAAUUUCAUUACAAAUUUAUUUUUGUUAAGAAAAUUUGCAAUUUUCUUUGUACAAAAUUAAAUUACAGUUUCUUCGAAAAAAAAUUUUUGAAUACAUAUGUUAUUAUGUAUUUAGAAAAAAAAAAAAAAAAAGAAAAAAAAAAAGAGAAAAAAAAAAAGAGAUACAAUUUCUUCAAAAAAAAAAAAAAAAAAUACAUAUGUUAUUAUGUAUUUAGAAAAAAAAAAAAAACAAAAGAAAAGAAAAAAAAAAAUAUAUAUAUAUAUAUAAUAUAUGAGUGUCUCGGCCCAGCAGCAAAAGGGCUCAAGCCACAACGGGCCCAAACUCCAGCUUGUCUUCUUCCUCAUUUCUCCUUGGCCCACAGUGCAGCCCAGCAGAGCACACAACUCCAACCCCAUCUUCUAAUCACUCACUCAUCCCCACUGCCAGGACACCCAAAAGCAUUUCCCUUCAACUUCGUCGGCCUCCGCCGCCUCAACGACGUCGUCCUCUGGGAACUCCUCGUCGUCAAAUAACUACUUCAGUGCUGCUUCCGGGUCCACCCCAAGAUUUCCUAUGCCGUCUUCCACUCCCGUUGACCAUUGCCUCCGUCAAAUGCCGCACCAGGAGAUCGAUCUGCUGAAGAUCGUGAAGAGGUUUUUUGGAUCCGAAACCGGACUGUGGGCUCGGGUUGCAGCUACCGCUCAUUGAUCGCCUGCCCGAUGUGCUCAAGAACAGGCUCGAUCGCUCCAGGACGCCUUCGAUCUGGCAAUCCGGUCCCACGACUACGGCUCCCAUUACCAGGGCGUGUACCCGGUGAAAUGCAACCAGGACCGGUUCGUCGUGGAGGACAUUGUCAAGUUUGGAUCGCCGUUCCGGUUCAGACUGGAAGUCGGGUCGAAGCCGAAGCUCACUCCGUACGGUAACAGCCAUGUCUGUACAGACCGCCGCGUCUGCCGUAUCAUCGCCAGACCAUGCUGCCGAGAAAUGGUUUUCGGUGCCGGAGCUCCGACUCCGAGACCACCGAUUCACUGUGCCCCUUGACUACUCCGUCGAUCGUACCGCUUCGCCUAAGAUCUCAGUCUUCGCUCGCGAAGUUGUUUCAGUUAGUAAAGAAGAACAACAAUUGCCAUACCUAUUUAUAUCUACAAGGUGGACUUGGAUCUGAGGCCCCCGACCAACUAAAUCCAGUGGAUGGAUAUGUAAAGCAGGUGAAGAAUUUCGUGUUAUGUUGCUGGAUCAGCGAGGAACAUAGUUUAUUCGAGUACACCUUGUUUCUGAUGCUGCACCAUGGAUACGUAAAGCGUGUAAGAAGACGCUGGGGACGACAUGGGAUUUCUUUAGGAUGAGGGACGAGUAGAUGAAGCACCCCGUGCUUUCCAAUCAGCUCCACCACGCCACUCCUGGCCUCGGCAUCGCUCUCGUUACAUUCAGCGGUGAGCAGAUCUACGACCGCCUCAUAUCAAUGUUUUGAGGCACCAAAUAUCAACGUUUUCAGAAACCCGAGAUAGGGAGAGGGCAAGAGACACACAUGGCGAAGAUCCAACGGUCGCCGGAAGAAUUUCAUAGCUGUCGAGGCGGAGUUGGCGGCAGCCAAAAAGGCGUCUACAAAUAAGGAGAGUGGAAAAUCCUCUGUUCUUUUGGAUGUCAAGCCUUGGGACGAUGAGUCUGACAUGAAGAAGCUCGAUGAGGCUGUUCGGAGUGUCGAGAUGGAGGGUCUCUUCUGGGGCGCAUCGAAAUUGGUUUCCGUUGGUUACGGGAUCAAGAAGUUGCAGAUCAUGCUCACCAUUGUCGAUGACCUUGUUUCCGUCGAUGACCUCAUCGAAGACCAGCUUACCGUUGAACCCCCGCAUCGGCAACAUCAGCACGGGCAGUGCACUUCUGGACUCAAAGCUCAGCAACAGCGGCGGCGGCACCGGCAGCUUCGAGGUCGAGUCUCGGAAGCUCCCUUCCUCCAAGUACAAAAGCGUGGUCCCGUAGCCAAACGGACGCCAGGGCCCACAACGUUGCUGCACAACGCUUCCGUCGCCACAACGCCGGCAUCAACUUCGAGUCUUCAUCUACUGAACCCAGCUCCCGGUCUUAGCACUCCGCCUCGCCAAGUCCACCUUCAUCACUGCAGGAUCGUUCCCAAGCAGAAGUUGGUCCCCGCAAGGUUCGAGGUAAGGAUGUACUUGGGAAUGCCGUGGUGGCUGCUCUAAACACACUAUACAUCAAACAAAAAAAAAACUUGUGAAUGCAUGGGGCAACCCAAUCUCAAACACCAUCGAGCGGGACUCCUUCUCCGUCAUCUCCUGCUACUUCCAAAGCUGCACCGCUCCUCUUUGCCCAUCUUCCACCGCAGCUGCCAACGACUUCAACGACCGCCGUCAAACGACUAGCCGGUCGUGAAGCUCGAAGCACCAUCUUCUCCGUCCUCCUUGCUCCGCUGCCUGCAAAUUUCUUUACCCAUCAUCAACAUUUAUACAAAAAAGAUAUAUUAAAAAAAUAGGAUGGUGGAGCAAAGCAAAGUGGUGCAUCUGGCACCACGUGAAAAAAAAAGAGGAAUGGUGGAUCAAAGAUGGGGUACAGCCCCAUGGCAGAUCAAAAGUUUCUGGUGGUGCAUGGGCACCAUGUGCAGAAAGAAAGAAAGCAAAAAAAAUAAAUAAAAAAAUAAAUAUUGUAAAAAAAAAAAAAAUAAAUAAAUAAAUAAAUAAACAUAAAAAAAAUAAUAAUAAAAAAAAAAAUGAUGGAACUUGGUGCAUCCAGCACCAAAAGAAAAAGAAAAAAAAAAAACAAAUGCAUAGAGAGAAAUAGAAGGUCCAUUUUAUUUAUUUUUCUGGAAAUUAUACAUAAAAUUAAAAAAAAAAAAAUCAAAUCAAAUCAAAUUUACAAGAGGGGAUAUUCAAGGACGAUCAGGUGGCGCCUCACAACUCGGCAGAGCUCCAGGAAGAGAAGGCGUCAGAGGUUGGCUGUUUGAAGCCUCAGCAGUCGGUACAGCCCCAGAAGACGAAGGUAAAUGCUGCUGGAACAAACCCACAAACCUCCGAUGAUCAAGUAAGAUCUGACCAUCAGAUUCCUGCAUCUGGUCAAUUUUCCUCUUCAUGUUUGUGGCAUAGUUGUGUGCAAGCUUUGUGCAACUGUUUAUUCUCAUGCUUGAGCCCUCUGAUCUCCUGUUUGAGACUCAUCACUUCAGCCGCCAACGAUUCAACUUGACGGGUUCGAGCAAAUAGGCGUUGGGCCAUGUUGGACACAGAACCCGCACACUGCACACUUAGAGCCAGGGACUCCUUAACGGCCAACUCAUCAGACCGCCUGGAAAGUAGUCUGUUAUCUUUGGGAGUGACAAGGUUCCGGGCCACCACCGCAGCGGUCAUAUCAUUCUUCAUCACCGAAUCCCCAACAGUAAGAGGACCAGUAGGGGAUAUGAAGGAUGGGCGCCAUAUGUUAUCUGGAGAAGACGGGACUACCUCUUCACCAAGGUUCAAAUCAAAACGACGGUCGGAGGGACCAGACAUUUUCAAAGUGUUGAAGGAAGAAGAGAUCGGACAAAUCAAGAUCUUAGAAGUACAAGAGGGAAGUUUUCACAAGCGAAAAUUCAAGUGUGUUUUGAAACGAACUGCAUGCCUCUAUAAAAAAUCAGCACUCGACGGGAUUUCAGAGAUCGAAGAGGCGAGCUCAGAAUUCGAAGAGGCCAUUCAAAAAUCGAAGAGGCAAGCUCAGAAAUCGGAGAAGCAUCUUGCUUUUCCAGACGUGUCGGCACCCGUCACACGCAAACUCAGCGUUGCGGAAAUCACGGGUAAUUUGUCGAAGCGCCAAUCCCAGAUAUCGAAGAGGCGCCAGUCUUUUUCAGCCGAGUCAUCACCUGUCAUAUGCACACUCAACUUUGCGCAAAUCACGGGCAAUUUGUCGAAGAUUUUCGGUGAAAGAGAAAGCACGUGAAAUUUUACUGUUCAAUCACGCGUUAGUUGCCGACACGAGUGAAAGAAUAGUACCUCUACAAGUAUUAAAGAACUUCCUAUAACUGUCCAUCUUCACCCUCCAUAGCAAGGCAGACAUACAAAACCUUUCUUCAUCUCUGAGAAUGCCUUCCCAACGAAGCCUCUUGAGUUACCCAGUGUUCCUUAUUCCUUGGGGUACCUCUGCAAGCCAAUGACUCCAAAGCAAAAGUAUCUCAUAUCACCAGGGUAGAAAGCAAGAGUAUCUCAUAUCAUGCGUUCUCCCUGUCCUUUCCUUUAUCCUUGUUCUUACCUACAAAGACAAGGAUAAAGAAAACAAUAUGCCGGAACUUCCACUCAAACUCGGGUAAGGAACCGACUGCUUGGAACCCUUCCCUGAUUGCCUACCUAGCACUGCUCUCGAGUACUCGCCUUCCACUGCUGCUGUACUUUCAAAGAAGCUGCCACAUCUGCCUGAAGAACAGAUAAGGCAAGUGAAAAUGAUACCUUGCAGCAUGUGGAGACAAGGUGCAGAAGGAACAAGCAGAGAAGAAAGCGGUCUGCACGGUCAACUCAGCAGAAGGAGUCCGAACUGAGGAACUCAAGAAGCUGCCAUAUCUGCCUGAAGAAACAAGCAGAGAAGAAUGCAGCAUGCACAAUCAACUCAGCAGAAAGAGUCCGAGAUGAAGAACUCGAGAAGAUGUCGCAUCUGCCUGAGGACGAUGAACUUGUUUUGACCCUCAAAUUCUUGGGUCGACUUACUAGGCGUUGUGGGCUGCACGUGCCGAUUCACCACCCUUGAAUCGAAUCCUUAAAGAUCAAGUCACCAACUGGAAGAAGAGUUCAUCAAUCUUGAAGAUCAUACCGUUGACCAAACUGCUCAGGUGUGAAUUAGAAAGAUUGAACAAAGAAACAGGUUGUCACCUUUACCUCGUGCCUGCUUGCCAUGUGUUCCGAGUCAACCUUCAAGAAUCAAGCCUCAACGGCCCUUGAAGAAGUUUCCAGCCAAAUUCAAGAUCAAGCCUCGACGGCCCUUGAGGAAAUCACAAGUCCGAUUCAAGAUUAAGUGUCUACCACCCUUGAAUCAAAACCUAGUUCAAGAAUAAGCUGUGGAAAAUCAACAAUUGGAGGAAUCCAGAAAAUCCUUCCAACCCAGUUCAAGAUCAAAGCUGUGGAAAGUCAACAAGCGCAACAAAAUACGUGCCGAUUCAUCCAUUACCAAAGCCAAAGAUCAUCUACCACAUGAAGCUCCUUGUGGUCCAAAUUUCAACCUUCAAGAUCAAGCAUCGACGGCCCUUGAAGAAAUUUCAAACAACAAUUCAAGAUCAAGCCUCAACGGCCCUUGAAGAAAUCUCAAGCCCAAUUCAAGAUCAAGCCUCAAUGGCCCUUGAAGAAAUCUCCAGCCCAAUUCAAGAUCAAGCCUCGACGGCCCUUGGAUCGACAUCUACAGUAAGGGACUUCAAAACGCAUCUCCUACACGUGACAAGCACAUGUAUACGACGUGCCUUGAAGUGGGGGCAUUUGUAGACAUCGAAAUUUCGGUAAAUAAAUGUUGACCGAUAAAUCAAAGUGUCAACGCUCAUGUAUUACAUAAAUUUUACACGUAGCGUGUGACUCAACGAAAAUUGAAAUGAGUUGGAAAAGUCAUCAAAUAGGACACGUGUCAACGCCUGGCAGAAACGACUUAUUUCAUCUGGAAUAUUAUAUUCAAAAUUAGGCCUUGGAAAAUUCUAUAAAUACAAGCCCAAUUUCAUUCAUUUGGGGAACCAAUUCAUAUUACACCUUGAAGCUCUGAAGCUCUGAAGCUCCGAAGCUCUCAAGCAUCCAGGUUCCCGAAGAAUCAAGAAAGCUCUCUUCGUUCUUCGUUCUUCGUCCAUCGCUCUUUCAAGAUCAAGCCCCGACGGCCCUUGAAGAAAGCACCAUCGUUCAUCAUCCGUUCUUCCAAGAUCAAGCCCCAACGGCCCCUUUGGAUCGACAACAUCAACAAAUCCGCUCAUCCGCUGUUCAUCAAGCCCAAGCCCCGACGGCCCUUGAAGAAAGCGUUCAUCGUUCAUCACUGUUAUUCGAGAUCAAGCCCAAAAGCCCUCGAAGAUCCGUUCAAGCCCAAAAGCUCUCGAAGAUCCGUUCAAGCCCAAAAGCUCUCGAAGAUCCGUUCAUCACUAUUCUUCGAGUUCAAGCCCAAAAGCCCUCGGAAAUCCGUUCAUCACUGUUCUUCAAGAUCAAGCCCAAAAGCCCUUGAAGAUCCGUCAAUCACCAUUCUUCAAGAUCAAGCUCAAAAGCCAUUGAAGAUCCGUUCAUCCUCGUUCAUCCAAGAUCAAGCCUCGACGGCCCUUGGAUCAAUCGCACAUCCCACAAAUCAACACCUUACGGAGAUCGAAUCAGAGGAUCAAAUUAGAGAGAGAUUGUAACCCAAAAUCAUCAAAUACAUAAUAUUUGUUUGUGCGCGUUUGUUCUUGUCUCUUUCGUUUCAGGAAUUUUCCGUGUUCACAGUCAUAUUCCAACAACUCGGAUGUCCUUAUCAUUUUUAUUUUUGUUAAAAAAAAUGAAAAAGUUUGACAGUUAACCUGUAAAUGAAGUAUUUUAAAUUCAAAUCACAUAUGAAAAUUCACUACUAGCUAGGGAGACCUGGAGUAAUGAACACAAAAUAUCUUUUGUCAUGUUAUUACAAAGAGAGGUUUGAACAAAAAACUCAACCGUCAACCCACGCUCAUCUCAUGCUAUUUGAGAAAAGUCUUAUGGGUAACUUAUUGACAACGCACGACAAAAACAAACAAAAAAACUUAUUCACAACGAAUAAUUGGCUUGAUUUUAAGAAGAUGUAGCACAAGCAAGAGGCUUUGCCACGUUGUUAAUGGUGGGCUUAACAUGUUUACAUUUAGAGGUAAUAGAGCCUUUCUCUCCAGUGUAUGUGAGAUCAAUGUCACUCGGUUUCACAUUCUCACAUGGCAGCUUUCCACUACAUAAAAGCUUGAUACCAACUGGGCCUGAAGAUGGGACUUGGAUUGUCUGCCCUCCCAUUUCGGUGCCUUCUCCGUGCCCUCCUGUUUUGUGUGAUCACGGUUAAGCCACGUUAAUAUUUUAUAUUAUUUUUUUAUAAAAAUAAUAAAACAAAAAGAAAUAGUAAUAUAAAAUGUUGACGUGGCUUAACCGUGACCACAAAAACAGAAAGGCAUGAGGAGGGCACCACAAUUAGAGGGCAGACAAUCCAAAUCCCUGAAGAUGAGCCCUUUAUGUUCUUAAAGCUGACAUCACUGAUCUUAAUUUUGGAUGAAACCUGCACACAAUAAUAGUACCAUUAAAGUGUAAUUUUAAAGUGUAAUUUUAAUUACAAAAAUGUUUUAAUUAUAAAUAUGCCAAAAAAGUAAUUAAAAAUUCAAGUGUAAUUUUUUGGAAAACCACACAGGAGUUCUUCCUAAAGAAAUGUACUUCUUCAUAAAGUGCUUUUAAGUUUUUAUAUCAAACAUUGAUAGAAGUGUUAUUGGUCGACAUAAUUUUUUUUUAAACCUUUCAUAAACAAUCUCAAAUAGGCUGGUGAACUCAAGUAUCCAUUCAAAAUAGUGGAGAUUAGUGUCAAUAGAUCAAACGGUUAUCAAUUGUAUUCUAUUCUUCUAGCUAGAUUAAGUAUUUGACUAAGUAAUAAAGAAACAAUGAUGUUAAUUUGGUGUAAAAUGGUAUACCUCAGGUGUACACAGCUUAUGUGGGCAAUACUCUUGGUCUAUGACGACAGGGUUUUUAACAUUGUCCAUGAUAAUAUCCUCAAAGUGAACAUCUGAGACAACAGUACCCUUUGCAGGUAGGGAUGGGCAAAAUAUUCAUGGGUAUGGGUAACCGCGGUUACCUGCCCAUUUAAAGUUGAUGGUUAUGGUUAUGGAUAACCGUUUAAACAAAUAAACAGUUAUGGGUAUAACCGUUUAUCCAUGAAAUUUAAAUGGACGGUUAUGAGUAUUAUCCGCGGUUAUAACGGGUAUCCAUCGGUUAUGGUUAUUUGCAGGUGAAGCAGGCCAGGUUUUGAUCCUCACACCAUUAUCUGUAUUUGUAAUCGUGCAGUUCUUGAUAAAGAUUCCGGACACAGGUUCUUCAUCCUCAGUCCUUCCGAGGCUUCCGAUGCUUAUGCCGUGGCCUGGUCCGCAUUUAACGUUGGUUACAUGGAGUUGGUUGGUUCCGUGACCUAUAGAGAUGCAAUCAUCCCCAGUUCCAAUGGUUGUAUCUCUGAUGUUGAUCCCAGAUGAACGUCCCAUAUGAAUUCCUUUUGUAUUGACGCUCUCUUGAGGCGCUGAGACAGUAAAAUCUUAGAAUACCAGAUUUUUGCAACCCAUAAGAUUGACGUGGGAAUUUUUUGCUGUCUUUUCUUGUUAUAUCUCGAAUUAUAGAAUUGGUAACAGAAUUGAACCUCAAAUUCUGCCAAAGUGUGAAAACAGUUAAAACAUAUUAAGACAAGUAAUGUCUCUUGCAAAAGUUAUGUUGUCAGGAGAAUUUUUUUAUAGUCAGAAUGAAUCAAAAUCGCAGAUUAUCCACAUGAUCCAUGACUUAGAGUCGCUACCUAAUAUAUACCCUUUUCACAUGUAUGGCUCGGGCUGUCAGGCACCAUAUAUAUAUAUAUAUAUAUAUAUAUAUUCUUAGAAGAGUAUGAUCAGCCAAUUAGUUUCACAAUCUAGCAAUUGAUUUAAAAUAUAAAAGAACAAGAUUUAAAUUAUCUUACGAUAGCUUUAGAUUUGCAAUCUUUGUUUUUGUGACAAUCAUUUUGCUUCCAAGCAGUUGCUCCUUGGCCAUCGAAAGUUCCACCACCAGAUAAGGUGAGCCCAUCAAUGCGCUCAAAAGCUACCCAAGUAUCUUGUUUUGGGAGAUCCUUGAUAUGUUCUGGAGCCUGCACUGUGCCUUUUAGCUGAAACUCAAUAGCAGCUUUGCAUGGUCCUUUGAAAGUUGCCCCUACAAACUUGUAUGUCCCACUUGGAACAACAAUUUUACUUGCCGACGUCGAUGCACAUGCAUCUGUCCAAGCUUUGCUCAAAGCCUAAUUACAAACAUUAAAUAAAAAUUAAAAAUUAAAAAUUGAAAUGAUUCUGGUUAAUUACGAACCAAUUCUAGAACGGAAAUGAUUUUCCGCUUAUUCAUUUUUUUCCCAUGCAUACUUAUUGCUUACUUCUAACUAAACAAAUCGAAAGAAAAAGCAAGAAACAAAAACAAGAAUGUGCAAAGACUAAGUGUGUACGGAAGUAAUUUUUCUUCUAGCCAAAAAUAUUGGUUUAGCAUUUCAAGAUGAAUUAUAUAAGUAUAUAUAAUGCCUACCUCGGUUAGGUAUAAAAUAUCGAUGAUAUCGAAAAUAUCGGUAGUCCAAAAACACGGAAAUUUUGAUGGAAAUAUCAGGAUAUUAUCGAUAUCGAUAAAAAUUGAAUAAAAACCACGGAAAUUGUAAGAAAAACUUGGAAAUUUUUAUUGAAACUUCGCAGGAUGUUUAUUUAGUCAAUUAUCUAUUAGUUUAUCACAAAAAAUUGGAAGGAAAUGCAUUGCAUGAUAGAUAUAAUUGAUUUAAGUUGAUUAUAUAGCGAGUUGGCAAACAUUGUGAGUGUAGAAAAUAUGUAUUAAUUAAUGAAAGAAGUUUAAACACAUCAUAAUCAUUUAUAUAUAAUGAAUUAGUACAAUAUUUUACACUUUAUACAUUGCAUGGUAAGAUACAUGAGUGACUUAGCAAGGUCUAAAAUAUCGAUGAUAUCGGAAAUAUCAGUAGUCCAAAAAAUAUCGAUAGUCCAAAAACACGGAAAUUUCGAUGAAAAUAUCGGGAUAUUAUGGAUAUUUUAGAACUUAUAUCAAAGUUUGCUUUUCCACCAUAAUUUGUACUUGUUACAUCAUAGACACCAGAUUGGGCAUUAGAUGUGGAUACUAACAAGAAGGACAUAAACAUUGGCAAGAUAUUUUUCAGUUUCAAAUCCAUCUUGAGUUUUCAAUUCAGAAUUAGUUUCUUUCGUUUGGAGGUUUGAUGAAAACUUUAUUUUGGUUUUGUUUGUACCAUACUUGACCAAUUCCGAAACUACUGAGCACCGAUCAACGUUAUACCGUCAAUGAUCCAAAAGAGUUUCCCUCUAACCAGGAGGCCAAUCACAGCGCACACGUGUCGACAUCAGAAGCCAAUCAUAGCGCGACACGUGUCAACAUCAGAAGCCAAUGACAACACAACACGUAUCAAUGUCAGAACAAAACUAGAAACUCUCUUCUAUAAAAGGAGAUCAUUCUCCCACAAUAUUUCCUAAUGUCAUUUGUACUAAAUAAUUCACUAGUACUCACUAAAUGAGAGCUUGAACCUACGUACUUGUGUAAACCCUUCACAAUUAAUGAGAACUCUUCUACUCCAUGGACGUAGCCAAUCUGGGUGAACCAUGUACAUCUUGUGUUUUGCUUUUCUGUCUCUAUCCAUUUACAUACUUACCCACACUAGUGACCGCGAAGGUCAUAAACUUGACACUUUCUGUUGUACCAAAGUCCUCGCCGAUUUUGUUCAUCAACAUUUGGCGCCAUCUGUGGGAAACACAUUUAUUUCUACUUUCUUCAGCUUUGUCAAGCUGGUUUCCACCAUUCAUACACUCUCUUUUGACCAGGCAUCCCUCUCCAACAUGGGGAGCGAAGGAAGCCACAACAUGCAGAACGACACCCCCCUCGCACCUGGUGCAAAGCAACAAAAAAAUGAACAAAAGAAGUUUGCUCUUCAGGCUAAAACACACGAGCUCAUCACCUCUAUGAAAGUCAACCAUCAACUGGGUGCCCCCCAACACGGAGGGUCAUUUGCCUUCGACAUGGGUAUUCUUGUUGAGGAGCGAGCUACUCAUUGAAAUGGCGACCAACAUGAGACUUCUCUCAACCCAGCUGCUUCGACCCGAAGCAGGAGAAGUUGAGGAAAGCACCUCCUUACAGAAUGAGUGGAAUGAUUGAAAGCCGUCUUUCGCAACUGUCGAGACUUCCUAAAGCAACGUCGAGACAAUCUCAUCUAUGUAAGCUCGAAGAUCAAUGACCCAAGGGUCUCUGAAAGACUCGGUCCCCUCCCAUGUCUCAGGCCAACUACCAAUUUGGGGAAGGGGCAGCAAGUCCUAGAAAAACACGAAGGUAUAGGGGACUCAGAGAUGUUCCGACAGACAUACCUUGGAAGUCAGUAUGGCUAGUCCAGGGAAAAAUCACAUACUCUUGAUCAAACCUUCCUACUUCCAAAAGGAGAUGGAGAUUUACGAAAGAAAGCUCCAGUGGUACAUGACUCCACUCAGGACCAUCUUGUCUUACAGCUCCUUAAAGAAGUAAACAAGUUGAAGGCCGAACGACAAGCUGAGAUACCUGAUUGGAACCAACCUAGGCUUGGCCCUCUUACAAUGAGGAUCCUCGACACCCCCUUCAAGCAAAGACAAAACAAAAGCUUGGCUUGCAACUCUAUACUGGAAAGAAUGACCCGAUUGAACACCUUAACCUCUUUGAGUCCACCAUGGCAUACCGGAUGUACACCGAUGAAGAACAAUGUCUUCUCUUCCCCUCCACCCUCUCUGGCAGAGCUCUAAAUUGGUAUUGUCGUCUUCCACCUGAAACAGUAGACUCAUUUAAGAAAUUGAGGAAACAGUUUGUUUCUCAACACAUUUUCCAGACCGAUCGCUUACAUUCUGCUGAUGACUUGUACAUUAUUCGCCAGACGCCAGAGGAGUCAUUACGUAUGUAUGCUGGCCAUUUCAGUCAUGAGAAUUCCCGUUGUGCCGAGGCAGACGACAAGACUGCCCUCAAAACCUUCACGACAGGCCUACGUGACUGUUUCUUUAAGUACAUAAUCAAUGCCAACACUUGAAAGACUUAGUAUGAGGUGAUGGCGCAGGCUUAUAACCAUGCCUCCGCCUAGGCAAGGACAUACCAAGAGAAACCUUCAACAACCAUCCCCUAUCAGAAAGUUGGGAGUGGAAGCCAGACUCACCCAAAUGAGAAGACCUCAACCUUCCAAACGGCAGCGGUGCCUCCCCCUGCCUUACUUAAUACUUCACCAAGUCAACAGACAUAUCAAUCUCAAGGCAAAAGGAAAGAUUUCCACCAUUCGUACACUCUCUUUUGACCAGGCAUCCCUCUCCAACAUGGGGAGUGAAGGAAGCCACAACACACAGAACGACACCCCCCUCGCACCUGGUGCGAAGCAACAAAAGAAUAAACAAAAAAAGUUUGCUCUUCAGGCUAAAGUCGAUGAGCUAGAGGCUUAGAACAACAGGAUAGCGAUGAAGAAUGAGAUCCUCCAAGAGCAGUAUGAGAAGGUCUUCGAGAUGCUCCACAAGGCUAGAUAUACUAAAACACACAAGCUUAUCACCUCUGUGGAAGUCAACCAUCAACUGGGUGCCCCCUAACACGAAGGGUCAUUUGCCCUCGACAUGGGUAUUCCUGUUGAGGAGCGAACUACUCAUUGAAAUGGCGACCAACAUGAGACUUCUCUCAACCCAGCUGUUUCGACCCGAAGCAGGAGGAGUAGAAAAAGGCACCUCCUUACAGAAUGAGUGGAAUGAUCGAAAGCCGUCUUUCGUAACUGUUGAGACUUCCUAAAGUAACGUCGAGACAAUCUCAUCCAUGUAAGCUCGAAGAUCAAUGACCUAAGGGUCUCUGAAAGACUCGGUCCCCUCCCAUGUCCCAGGCCGACUACCAAUUUGGGGAAGAGGCAACAAGUCCUAGAGAAACACGAAGGUAUAUGAGACUCAGAGAUGUUCCGACAGACAUACCUUGGAAGUCAGUAUGGCUAGUCCAGGGAAAAAUCACAUGUUCUUGAUCAAACAUUCCUACUUCCAAGAGGAGAUGGAGAUUUACGAAAGAAAGCUCCAGUGGUACAUGACUCCACUCAGGACCCUCUUGUCCUACAGCUCCUUAAAGAAGUAAACAAGUUGAAGGCCGAACGACAAGCUGAGAUACUUGAUUGGAACCAACCUAGGCCUGGCCCUCUUACAAGGAGGAUCCUCGACACCCCCUUCAAGCAAAGACAAAACAAAAGCUUGGCUUGCAACUCUAUACUGGAAAGGAGGACCCGAUUGAACACCUUAACCUCUUUGAGUCCACCAUGGCAUACCGGAUGCACACCGACGAAGAGCAAUGUCUUCUCUUCCCCUCCACCCUCUCUGGCAAAGCUCUAAAUUGGUAUUGUUGUCUUCCACCUGAAACGGUAGACUCAUUUAAGGAAUUGAGGAAACAGUUUAUUUCUCAACACAUUUUCCAGACAGAUCACUUGCACUCUGCGGAUGACUUGUACACUAUUCGCCAGAAGCCAGACGAGUCAUUAGUAUGUAUGCUGGCCGCUUUAGCCAUGAGAAUUCCCGUUGUGCCGAGGCAGAUGACAAGACUGCCCUCAAAACCUUCACGACAAGCCUACGUGACUAUUUCUUUAAGUACAUAAUCAAUGCCAACACUUGGAAGACUUACUCUGAGGUGAUGGUGCAGGCUUAUAACCAUGCCUCCGCCGAGGCAAGGACAUACCAAGAGAAACCUCCAACAACCAUCCCCUAUCAGCAAGUUGGGAGUGGAAGCCAGACCCACCCAAAUAAGAAGACCUCAACCUUCCAAACGGCAGCGGUGCCUCCCCCUGCCUUACUUAAUACUUCACCAAGUCAACAGACAUAUCAAUCUCAGGGCAAAAGGAAAGAUUUCCAUCCUCACCAAUCUCAUUUUAGUAAAAUGAGUAAGGGACACUAUCGCGAUAACCAAAGGUAUCGUCACGAUAAUGCCCGCCCCCAGGUAUUCAACAUAGUGGGCCAAGCACGUGUCAAGACAAGCCUUACCCCGAGGUAUGAGACAUACACACCUUUGAACGCCACAUGCGUGGCCAUUUACCCCAGCAUAGCACACCUGAUACUGAAGCCAAUGCCGAGGUAGUCAGGUUACAAGCUCACGUAGAACACGGGCAUAUUUUGCUGCUACCACGAGCAUAAUGGCCAUGACGACGAGAAGUGUAUCACCCUUCGUGAUCAUAUUGAAGUUUUGGCACGUGAAAGAAAAAUUGAUCAAUUCCUUCUUCACCCUUCAAGGGAUAACCGUAACCAACGCCAAGUGAAUGUGAUCAAUUCCAUAAGCGGCGGCACACCAAUAUCUGAAUCUUUCUACAGGGCCAUGAAAAACAGCGAACAAGCUUUAAGGCCUGGUCACCAAGUGUUUCAUGUGGAAGACAUCAGGGGAGGCAAGUACUAAAAGCCUAACUGGGAUCCAAUAUGUUUCUACCCUGAGGAAGAAAGAGGUAUCAUCUACCCUUACAACAAUCCACUAAUCCUAGAAGCUCACAUAUCCAACUUUGAAGUACGAUGAAUCCUGGUAGACAUAAGGGCUUCAGUCAAUAUCAUGUUUGCUGAAGCUUUCAGGGCACUUAAUGUAGCUGAACACUUGCUCGAUCGCUCAAUUUCUCAUCUAAUAAGUUUCUCCGGUGAUAUCGUGCAACCUUUAGGGUGCAUACACUUACCUUUCACCAUUGGUACAGGCCUUUACACAGCUACCAUUACCACUAACUACCUGGUGGUUGAUUGCCCAAUGGCAUACAAAGUCAUCUUUGUACAUACAGACAUCAAUGAUCUCAAGGCCAUAGUAUCCACACAUAUGUUGUUGAUAAAAUUUCCAACCCUCUAUGGCAAUGGUUACAUCAGAGGAGAUCAACUUAGUGCACAGUCAUGUUACAACACUUUAAUCAAGCAACAACACUUGCAUGUGCCCAAGGAAACCCUUUAUAUACAUGACCAAGUCAUAAAGACUAGCCCAGACAAAGCCAACUUGGAUCUUCAUGGUGGCAACAGUCAACCCGACGAUCUUUGAGAUGACUCUUUCACCCAACAAGCACAACCCGCUGAAGAGUUGGAGAAGGUUUCUAUCUCAAAAGAUUAUCCAGAUCGCAUGGUAAAGAUUGGCACCACCUUGUCACCACCCAUUCGGUUGGCAUUGAUCUCUUUUUUACAAGAGAACAUUGAGGUCUUUACCUGGUCAUACGAGGACAUGCCAGGCAUCUGUCCCGAUAUUAUAUGUCAUCAUUUGAGUAUUGACCCUAAUACCAAGCCAGUGAGACAGAAGCGAAGAUCUUAUGACGUUGAACGAUACGAAGCGAUGAAAACAGAAGUUGAAAAACUCAAAGGCAUAGCCUUCAUCCGCGAAGUCAAUUACCCAACAUGGGUAGCAAAUGUGGUCAUUGUUAAGAAAAAUCCGACCAAGGAAAGUCUCCUGCUCCCAAAUGAUAGCUUUCCUCUUCCUCUCAUUGACAGACUUAUAGACUCUACAGCAGGUUGUGAACUUCUGAGCUUUAUGGAUGCUUACUCAGGAUACAACCAAAUCCUCAUGAAACCUCCGAACCAAGAACACACAACCUUCACUACUGACAGGGGACUAUAUUGCUAUAAAGUCAUGCCCUUCGGCCUAAAAAAUGCAGUAGCGACUUAUCAAAGACUAGUCAAUUCAAUGUUUGCCAACAGAUUAGGAAGAGCAUAGAAGUUUACGUUGAUGAUAUGUUAGUCAAGAGCAAACAUGCUGACCAACACAUCACCAACCUAUCUGAAACUUUCACCAUUCUGAAGAGGUAUCGAAUGAGGUUGAACCCCAACAAAUGUGCCUUCGGCAUAGGCUCUGGCAAAUUCUUAGGCUUCAUAAUAAGCCAACGAGGCAUUGAGGCUAAUCCUGAGAAGAUCAAAGUAAUCCUCAACAUGAAGGAACCGAUAACUUCAAAAGACAUCCAAAGCCUUACUGUCAAGGUGGCAGCCUUAAUUAGGUUCAUCUCUAAGGCCACAAACAGAUGUGCUCCUUUCUUCAAAGUACUUAAGGGAAGUAAAAAGUACAUUACAUGGACUGAUGAAUGUGCCGAGGCAUUCAAGAACCUCAAGGACUACAUGAGUAAAGUUCAUCUGCUCUCCAAACCUGAGGUUGGUGACAUUCUCAUUAUCUAUCUAUCGGUAUCGGCUUCAACAGUAAGUUCCGUUCUCAUUCAAAAUGAUGGUAAUGUCAAACGGCCUGUAUACUACGCUAGCAAGGCCUUACAAGAUGCGAAGAUACGAUACUCCAACAUUGAGAAAUUGGCUCUAGCAUUGGUCAUGUCUGCUCGAAAACUUCGCCCUUACUUCCAAGAACACUCCAUCAUCGUGCUUACAAUCAUCAUCUUCGACAGAUACUCUAAAGUCCUGACACUUCAGGGUGAAUGAUCAAAUGGGCGGCGAUAACAUUGGGUGAGUUUGACAUCUCAUACCAACCAAAGCCAGCUGAGAAGGGCCAAGCAGUGGCAGACUUCAUCACCAACUUCACAUAUCCUAUUGACAUUAUUUCUACGCCUAAAAAAGUGGUUUCAUUACCCUCUGAAGCUCAGAGAAUAGAACCAACAGCCCCAGCAUGGAGUCUAUAUGUUAAUGGCUCGUCCAACCAACAGGGUUGUGAAGCAAGACUAGUCCUUACGACCCCUGACAAAGUGGCAAUGGAGUAUGCUCUUCGUUUCAAAAUCAAGGCAUCGAACAAUGAGGCCGAAUAUGAAGCCCUCCUAGCAGGCUUACGUUUGGCCAAACACCUUGGGGUUAAACAAAUUGAUAUCUUCAAUGACUUCCAAUUGGUGAUUAACCAGGUCACCAACAACCUUGACACUAAAGAUAGCUUCGUGGCAGCAUAUCUGGCACAAACACAAUUGUUGCUCAAGCACUUCCACUACCAGAUCACCCAAAUUCCUCGAGCGGCAAACAGUCAUGUAGACGUUUUGGCUCGCCUCGCCUCAGUAGUGGAAGACAAAAUUGGGAGAAAAAAUUCAGGUCGAAUUGUUGGCAGCACCAAGCAUCAUGGCCACAGAAGUGUGCAACUUACAACAGGGGGAUAGUUGGAUUACCCCGGUUUAUAAAUUCAUUGUGCAUGGCACCCUCCCAAAUGAUAAAGUUCAAACUAAGCAGAUUCGAUACAAAGCUACCCAUUACUUGAUCAUUAAUGACCAACUCUACAAACGGGGUUUUAACCUACCAUACCUAAGAUGCCUUACGCCCGCGGAGGCGGAAAUUGUCCUUCGGGAAAUACAUGAAGGAAUCUGUGAAGAUCAUGCUGGAUCUCGAUCCCUAGCACACAAGGUUGUUCGCCAAGGAUAUUACUGGCCAACACUCCACCAAGAUGCCAUCAUAAUAUCUCGCUCAUGUGAUAAAUGCCAACGCUACGCAACUAUUCCUCAUUCCUCUCUUGAGCCGCUCACUCCUAUGAUCAGCCCUUGGCCCUUCGCCCAAUAGGGACCUGAUUUAAUUAGCCCAAUGCCUACAGGGAAGGGCAAGGUCCGCUAUGCAAUCGUUGCAAUUGACUACUUCACAAAGUGGGCCGAAGUAGAACCUUGGCAACCAUUAUUGAGACAAAAAUAGAAGACUUCGUAUGAAAAAACAUCCUUUGCAGAUUCAGCAUUCCCAAUGCGAUAGCCACUGAUAACGGGCGAUAGUUCAACAACAAUAAGUUCAGGAUGUUCUGCUCUAAGUUCAACAUCAACUUAUGUUUCGCCUCCCCAGCUCAUCCCCAGUCUAAUGGAAAAAUUGAAGCCAUCAACAAAAUAAUCAAGUGUACUUUAAAAACCAGCUUGGACAAGGCUAAAGGUUGUUGGCCAGAAUUUGUACCCCAAGUUCUUUGGUCAUACCGCACUUCAUAUCGGACUUCAACAGGAGAAACUUCAUUCUCACUUACUUUUGGUACAAAGGCAGUUGUCCCAGUUGAGCUUGAGCAAGCAACGUUCCGAGUCCAAAACUACGUGUUAAGCGAAAAUGACAAACAACUUACCCUCAACUUAGAUUUAGUCGAGGAACACAGAAACCAGGCUCACUUGAGGAAUGUCGCUUACAAGCAAUGCAUCUCCAACUAAUAUGACUCAAGGGUCAAACCUCGUUCUUUCAAAAUGGGGGACUAGGACUGGGUAUUGAAGAAAAGAUUACUCUGCAACAGAGUCCCGAGUGAAGUAACACUUAAUCCAAACUGGGAUAGACCGUUUGAAGUUGUUGGCAUCAGUCGCUCUGGCUCCUACAAGCUUAAAAGCACCGAUGGCAAGACCCUUGGCCAUUCAUGGAACGCUGAUCACUUGAAGUACUAUUACAAGUAAACUCACAUUGUACAAGUGUUAAGCUUCAACCGUUCGGCAUCCUAUGUAACGAAUACCAUUUGGCAUGAAUUCAAUAAAGUGGUGAUUUAGACAACUCGGUCUUAAUCCUCUUACAUUCCUAGCAAUGAAACACUCGGGUUCAAAGCUUCAACAUGAAUGCUUCCAACAUGAAACAAAGUCUAAGUAUAUGUCAACAAGACUAUACAAAUAAACGAAUAGCUUCACAGUAUAUUCGUUCAAUCAUACAUUCCAACACAUUCAUACAUAAGCCAACUGUGCUUCAAAAGGGUUCAAAAUACUUUGUGUCAUUCAGCACUUGCUACAAUGUGCCUCGGCACCUUGCCCUUAUUCUCACCAACUAGGUGAUAAAGGAACUUACCUUCGUACCACCAACCAAGUGAUGAAAUGCACAACCCGUACUUUAAUAUUAUUUGGCAACUUGCCACUCUUAUCACCAACUAGGUGAAGAAGGAACUGAUCUUUGUGCCACCAACCAGGUGAUGAAAUGUGAUGAAGGAACUCACCUUCAUACCACCAACCAAGUGAUGAAAUGUGAUGAAGGAACUCACCUUCAUACCACCAACCAGGUGAUGAAAGCAACUCACCAUUCAUUCCAUCAUCUAGAAGACGAGUGGUAUAACUUGUACAUGUAAACUCUUAGCAUUCACAAAUAAUCAAAAACCCUCAAGCUUUACAACUCAACUAGGGGAGCACUUAUACCCAACAAGAGUUAUAGUUACCAACAAAGUCUUAUUGCAAGCCAACAACAACUUCAGUGCAUGGUAUACGAAGAUCAAACUAUUCAGCCCUCUUGCAUCUGCUUCAAACAUUUCUCCUCUGUAACAAUGCAAACACUACAACUCAUAGAAAGCUUCACACACUCUUCAUCAAGACUGCUAGAAGCAAAUUCAAUUUAUAUUGUUCACCCAAACCUUCGACUACUACAAGGUGUGGCUUGUAUAUGUUGUCUCUCCUACAUUUUCAAAUUUCCAGUUUUCCCAAAAAUAAAAUAAAAAAUCGAAAAAGGGAAAUUGGGAAAUUCAACAAAGCUUCAUCAAUGAAGGACAACUAUAAACUCUCAAAAGCUUCACACACUCUUGAUCAAGAUAGUGUGAAGCAAAACCAAUUUCUGGUGCCAACAAGAGCUUCAUCAAUGGAGGGCAACCAUAAUUCUCAAAAGCUUCACACACUCUUGAUCAAGACAGUGUGAAGCAAAACCAAUUUAUGGUGCCAACAAGAGCUUCAUCAAAUGAGUUCAACCACAAUUCUCAAAAGCUUCACACACUUUUGAUCAAGACAGUGUGAAGCAAAACCAAUUUAUGAUGCCAACAAGAGCUUCAUCAACGGAGUUCAACCAAAAUUCUCAAAAACUUCACAUUCUUGAUCAAGACAGUGUGAAACAAAACCAAUUUAUGGUGUCAACAAGGGCUUCAUCAAUGGAGGGCAACCACAAUUCUCAAAAACUUCACACACUCUUGAUCAAGACAGUAUGAAGCAAAACCAAUUUAUGGUGCCAACAAGAGCUUCAUCAAUGGAGGGUAACCACAAUUCUCAAAAGCUUCACACACUCUUGAUCAAGACAGUGUGAAGCAAAACCAAUUUAUGGUGCCAACAAGAGCUUCAUCAAAGGAGUUCAACCACAAUUCUCAAAAGCUUCACACACUCUUGAUCAAGACAGUGUGAAUCAAAACGAAUUUAUGGUGCCGACUAAACCUUCAUCAAUAGAGGGCAACUACAAUUCUCAAAAGCUUCACACACUCUUGAUCAAGACAGUGUGAAGCAAAAUCAAUUUAUGGUGCCAACAUAAGCUUCAACACCAAAGUUUCACCUACAAAUCUUUAACUCCAAAGCUUCAACUCCAAAGCUUCACCUACAAAAGCUUCAACUCCAAGCUUUGAGCUUCAACUUCAAAGUUUCACCUACAAAAGCUUCAACUCCAAGCUUUAACUCCAAGCUUUGAGCUUCAACGUCAAAGCUUCACCUACAAAAGUCUCAACUCCAAAGCUUCACCUACAAAAGCUUCUUCAACUCCAAAGCUUCACCUACAAAAGCUUCAACUCCAAAGUUUCACCUAUAAAAGCUUCAACUCCAAAGCUUCACCUACAAAAGUUUCAACUCCAAUACUUCACCUACAAAGCUUCAACACCAAAGCUUACAAAGGCUUCACCUACAAAGCUUCAACCCAAAAGCUUCACCUACAAAAGCUUCAACACAAAAGCUUCAUCUACAAAAGCUUCACACACUCUUAAUUAAGAUAGUGUGAAGCAAAAUCAAUUCAUGGUACCCAACAAAGCUUCAACCUCAAAGCUUCACCUACAAAGCUUCAACACCAAAACUUCACCUACAAAGCUUCACAUAUAAAGUUUAUAAUAUAUAUAUAUAUAUAUAUAUAUAUAUAUAUAUUCGAAAAUUCAAAAAAAAAUUGAAAAUUAAAAAAAAAAAAUUGCAUAGGCCUCCUCUUCUUUGGGCCUAACAACUUUCAUAACAAAUAUAUAUGAAAGGGGAGUUUUGGGCUACCACUUAGAAAGGAAAAUGGUGAAAUUUUGUUACUUUGGAAACUUGGCUACUAGCAAGACACCUCUUUCGUCAACUUCCUCGACCGGAGACUUGGGGGACUCCUACCAUAUGCUAUUGCACCUUGAUAUUCGAAAGUCUCACGACCAUUCAAUGACUUGGAUUUUUCAAGUCUCCAACCGAGAAGUUUUCCUCACUUGGGAAAUUAAGGGAGCACUACCUCAACCUACAUGCUUCACUCACAAAACUUCAACAUACAAGCUUCAACAAAAGAAAAAAUUCAAAGAACUUAGUGAAGAAGACUUUGGUGUAUUUAACACAAUACGUUGAAAUGAAGCAAAGCUUAUUUAUUGAUAUCUCUGAGAAGUUACAAAUAUGUACAUAUACAUGAAUCAAAAUAAACAAAUAAGAAGGAGCCUUCACAAAGGUUGCUCAAGAGAAGUCUCAGCAGUCGGCAGAGCCCCAGAAAGAGAAGGCACCGGAGGGUGAUCAUUCAGAGCCUCAGUACUGGGCAGAACCCCAGAAGGAGGAGGCACUGGAGGUUGAUCAUUUGGAGCUUCAUUACGCGGUAUAGCCCCAGAAGACGAAGGCAAUAAAUGCCUUUGGAACAAACCACAAACCUCUGAUAAUUAAGUAAAAUCUGACCAUCAGAUUCCUGUAGCUGGUCAAGCUUCAUCUUCAUGUUUGUAGCAUAGUCAUGUGCGAGCCUGUGCAACUGUUUAUUCACAUGCUAUAACCCUCUGAUCUCCUGUUUGAGACUUAUCGCUUCAGUCGCCAAUGACUCAACUUGGCGGGUUCGAGCAAAUAGGCGUUGGGUCAUAUUAGACACAGAACCUGCACAUUGAACACUAAGAGCCAGACUUCCAACAGGAUUACUUGCUCAAAAAUCGAAAAGGCACCGGUCUCCAAAUCUCGAGAGCUAGACUCCUACUAGGAUUGCUUUCUCAAAAAUCGAAGAGGCACCGCUAUCCGAAUCUCGAGAGCCAGACUCCCAACAGGAUUGCUUACUCAAAAAUCGAAGAGGCAUCCACUCUCCGAAUCUCGAGAGUCAUACUCCUAACAGGAUUACUUGCUCAAAAAUGGAAGAGGCACCGCUCUCCAAAUCUCGAGAACCAGACUCCCACCAGGAUUGCUUUCUCACAAAUCGAAGAGGCACCGUUAUCCGAAUCUCGAGAGCCAGACUCCCAACAGGAUUACUUUCUCAAAAAUUGAAAAGGCACCGCUCUCCGAAUCUCGAAAGCCAAACUCCCAACAUGAUUGCUUUCUCAAAAAUCGAAGAGGCACCGUUCUCCGAAUCUCGAGAGCUAUAUCCCCGAUAGGAUUGCUUGUUUGAAAACCGAAAAGGCAUCACUCUCCGAACUUCGAGACCCAUAUUUCCUUGGAUAAAGCUUGUCUGCAAUCUUCACACGCAACAUCAGCUUUCCAGAUACCACAGACCACUUUUUCAAAGUGCUGUGACAAAGUUAAAACACGUGAAUCUUGCAGCUCCCACUACAUUGCUAUGAUCGAGAAGGGUAAAGGAAUAUCGUUACUACUCACUGUUGGGACAAUUCCUAUAUAUGUCGACCUUCAUCCUCCACAGCCAGGCAAACCUGCAAAUAAAAAAUAUGCUCAACUUUUCUUCACAUCCGAGAGAGCACUCUCAGCAGCGUCUCUUGAAAUACUUAGCUUAUUUUCCCCCGAUAAUACCUCUGCAAACAAGCCAUACCAGAGCAAGUGUGUCUCAUAUCAUCAGCGUUAAAAGUAAGAGUAUCUCAUAUCAUGCUUUUUCCCUGUCUUUUCCUUCGCCCUUGUUCUUACCUGUAAGACAAUGAAAAAGAGAGCAAUCAGUCAGCACUUUGAAUCAAGCUUCCAGUCAGGAACUGACUGCCUGGAACCCCUUGCCUGAUUACUUACCUGGCAUUGCUCUUGAGUACUCAUCUUCAAUAUCUUGUGCUUCCAGAGAAGAUACCACAUCUGCCUAAGGAACAUAUAGGGCAAGUGAGAAUGAUACAAGGAAGCAUGUGGAGACAAGCGCAACAGAACACGUACCGAUUUAUCUAUUGCAUUGUCAACAGCAAAAGUAUCUCAUAUCAUCAAGUUCGAACACACUCUUGAUUUGAUGAACUUGUAUUGACCCUCAAAUUCUUGAGUUGACCUUAUACUCUGGAGGAAACCAGAAAACCCUCCAACCUAGUUCAAGAAUAAGUCUGUGGAAAGUUACUUCUUCAAAAGCAAAAGUACAUCAUAUCAUCUAUUCUCCAUGUCCUUUUCUUUGUCCUUGUUGAUGUCUACAGAACAAAGAGAAUGAGAACAAUCAGCCGGAACACGAGAUCAAACUUUCGAUCUGAGACUGACUGCUUGGAACUCUGAUUGCUUACUUUGUCUGUCACCUCUUUCGGCAGAUCUCCUCGCUCAGAGACUUGGGGGACUCCUACUAUAGGGUUUGUAUUGCACUUGACCAAGCCCAAAAGUACAAGUAAGCUUCAAGUGAAAUUGAUACAUUACCUUGUGCAUCUCCAUCGGUUAAAGAUAUCACCCCUAGAUGGAGGAAAAGUACUUCCAGAGAAGAUGCCACAUCUACUAUGAGACAGAUAAGGCAAGUGAAAAUGAUACCACACUUCGGUACUUAAAAGUUUCGUAAUUACUCAGCGGCUCGGAUCUCGCAAGUCCCCAACCGAGGAGCUUCCCUCACUCGGGAACUUAGGGGAGCAUUGAUUGUACCAUACUUGACCAAUCUCGAAACUACUAAGCACCGAUCAACGUGAUACCGUCAAGGACCCAGAAGAGUUUCCCUCCAACCAGGAGGCCAAUCACAGUGCGACACGUGUCAACAUCAAAAGCCAAUCACAACACGACAAGUGUCAAUUCAGAACAAAGCUAGAAACUCUCUUCUAUAAAAGGAAAUCAUUCUCCCACAAUAUUUCCUGAUGUCAUUUGUACUAAAUCAUUCACUAGUACUCACUAAAAGAGAGCUUGAACCUAUGUACUUGUGUAAACCCUUCAUAAUUAAUGAGAACUCCUCUACUCUGUGGACGUAGCCAAUCUGAGUGAACCACGUACAUCUUGUGUUUUGCUUUCCUGUCUCUAUCCAUUUACAUACUUACCCACAUUAGUGACCGGAGCAAUCUAGUGAAGGUCACAAACUUGACACUUUCUGUUGUACCAAAGUCCUCGCCGAUUUUGUGCAUCAACAAGUUUCAUGGCAACUUUAUACUGAAAUUGGAAAGCUUAACGCCCUCAAGGUAUUCAACCAAUUACUAGCUGGAAGAUGCCUUACCCUAAAAAACCGUGCACGAAAAAACUAGCUGCCGUUGAAGACGUAGUAAAAAAAUCUCAAAAUUUCUUCAAUAGAAAAGCUUAAUUAAGAGCUUGAAAUUUCUUCACACUAAAAAAAGUAGCCCCGAAUUAAGAUGCCUUAAUUAAGAUGUUUAAUUGCAAUGUAGUUGAAGAAUCAUAUCCUAUAAUUAGUAAUUAAUUAAGCUGCUUCUAGUUUUAGAACAUGAAUUACCACCACUAUGUAUGGCCCCAGGUUAGUUCAUUGUCAAUUACCACUUCUUUAACAUGUUGUUCUCCAUGCUUCCUCUCCAAGUCAGUACGUACUCAAAUUGUUUCUUCCAAGCAAACCUAGUUGCUGCAGCCACCAGCACCCUGAUCAACGCCAAGUCCACCACCGCGACAACGCCUAUAAUUUGUUUAAACUUUAUGGCAUGACUUGUGGGAAUCCUCGCAAUAAUAAUUUUAAAGAAUUCUUCACAUCAUAGCACGGAAUUCCAGCUCAACUCUAUCUCGAAGUGACGGAGCCAAGGACAAGGUUCCCUAUAGGAUAUAGCAUAGGGAGAGUUUUGGAUUUUUAAGUUUAAAAAUAGUAAUCUUUUGGGCUAUUUAAUGAUUUUUAACAGUCAUUUUCCACUUAGUAAAUGUAAAUUGAAUCUUAAAGAUGUUUUUAAGGAAAAUAAGAGCCACUAAAUGUUAAAUACUCAUCAUUUUAACUAAUAUUAUAAUUUAGUAACAAUUUAAAACUUUCAUACUACAAAUGAUUCCUUAUUUUAUUCACUUAAAAGUUUUGAAGACUACAAGCCUAGAAAACAUAGUAUAUAUUUCUUACUUCAAAGAGUAAAUUACAUUUUACCACCUCAGGUUUGACUGUUUGAGGUCUAUUGCAACCUCAUACAAUAACUUCAAAACAUUUCACUUUCAUACCUCAAGUACUAUUUUAUUUUAAUAUAAUAGAUCCGUUACAUUUUUCAUCCAUUGAUCCGUUAAGAGCUCACGUGGCUGCCAAAUUUAUGUCACGUGGCAAAAAAUAAUUUUUUAUACAUUAAAAAUAUUAUAAUAAUUUACCCUACUAAAAAAAAUAAACUGAAAACCCAAAAACCCAUUCCCCUUGACCACCUCCUUCUCCUUCCUCUCUUCAAACCCUCCACCACCAAAACCCUCAAAAAACCCUAUUCCCACCGCAACCAUCUUCGUCUUCUUCCUCUCCGACUCUGCUCAUCGUUUACUGGGCAUUCCCAUUUGGGUAAUGAAAAUGCCCGAUUACGAUUAUGGGAGGAAAGAGAGAAAGUGUGGGAACGAAGCCCCAUGCUACUGGGUUGGGGAGUGAAAGAGAGGUCGGGGGGGGGGGGGGGCACGUGGGUUUGCGGGGGAGGUGGGGAUGGGGUGGGAUUGGGGGUUUGGGUUGCGAGGAAGGGGAAGGUGUCGGGGAAGGAUUUCUAGGUUUAUUUAUUUAUUUAUUUAUUAUUAUUAUUUAAAUAGGGUAAAUUAUUAUAAUAUUUUAAAUGUAUAUAAUAAUAAAAAAAUUGCCACGUGGCACAAAUGUGGCAUCCACAUCAGCUCUUAACGGACCAAUGGAUGGAAAAUGUAAUGCAUGUAUUAUAUUGAAAUAAAAUAGUACAUGGGGUAUGAAAAUGAAAUUUUUUGAAGAUGUUGUAUGAGGUUGCAAUAAACCUCAAACAUGAGGUGAUAAAGUGUAAUUUAAACUACUUGAAAUUAUUACUUUCAGAUUUACUAUUAUAUAACUUUAUUUAUGUAACAAAAAGAUUAUUGACAAAAAAAAAACAAAAAGAUUAAAAGUUUAAUUAACUUUGCCCACCCACGUCCGAAAUUCUUGGCUACGGCAUUGCCAUCUCAAUUGUUCCCUUUAUAGUCUACUCUUCACUGAUCGCGAAUUGGUACAUCACUUUACUUGCUAGAAACAAUUACAAAGACGAGCAUCUACUAUUACGUACUCAGGCAAGUAUCGGUUUUCUAUCACAAGGAGUUUCUCUCCAUGACUAACGUUGUCGCUAACGGUUGUACCAAGAUCCUAUUCAUCUGAAGAAUGAGAAGCAAGUGCGUGCCAGUGCUUCUGCCUCGUUGAUGUUAAUUUGUCAAGGAUUGAAUUGUAGCUGUGGUUAGGAAUGGACAACGCUUAUGGCAGGCGGGUAACCGUGGUUAUUUACCCAUAACCGUUUACCCGUUGGAUAAUUGCAUAAGCAGUUAUACUUAUAAACGGUUAUCCAUACCCAUAACCGUGUACCCAUUUAAGCAUAAUCAUUUACCCAUUUAACCAUAAUCAUUUACCCAUUUACCCGUUUAUCCUUUUUUUACUCAUAUACCCCUUUUUUCACACGUCUACAUGUUUUUUUUUAACAACUUGAAAAUUACAAAAGAAAAAAAUUGCCAUAAUUUUCGUUUUCUGACAAUUAAACACCGUUAUAGGUACAUUUUAGCAUGCAUUUUCCUAUUUUAAUCAUUUAAAUCCUCAUACAAUUUCAAUAAAUUGAAAUAAUAGUUUACGAACAAUAUUUUUCUUCUACAUCCAAGCAAGUCUUUAAUUAUAAUCCAUAUGAUUACAAAGUAAAGCUUCUAAAAACAAAAAGUAGUCAUUAUCUUGAAUACUAGAUGAUUCAAAGCUACAAAAUAUUCUGAAACUAAACACUUUCGAACACAUUCAAUGACAAAGUAUCAUCGACUCGUUAUAACAGCGGGUAAUACUCAUAUAACUGUAUAACCUAACAGUAAAUGUUUUGAUGUAUUAAAAGCCCUAUGUAUCAUCGACUCGUUAUAACAGCGGGUAAUACUCAUAUAACUGUAUAACCUAACAGUAAAUGUUUUGAUGUAUUAAAAGCCCUAUAAAAAAAACUCACGGACUGAAUUAAAAGCCCAACUAAUAGUAAAUGUUUUUUUUUUCCAAAUUUACACCUGACAGAACCUAACCAAGCCAGUUCACUGUCUUUGCCUUUUUCUGUCGCAUAUGGGGCUUUUGGUGUUGCGGUUGCCUCCUUUUCCACACCCACCACUGUCAGUUACCUUUUUUUUAAAAAAAAAUAUUUUUUUUGUUGUUGUUUGUCAAGGGUACAUUUGGAAAAAAAGCAUUUACACUAUAAAGUCCUUUUUUUUUAUUUACAUAUAUUAAAUUAAAUGGGUAAAUAGAUACCCGUAUAAUCGCAGGUAAUACCCAUAAUCGGUGGAUACCCGUUAUAACCGUGGAUAAUACCCAUAACCACCCAUUUAAAUUUCACAGAUAAACGGUUAUACCCAUAACCGUUUAUUCGUCUAAACGGUUACCCAUAACUGUAACCGUGAACUUUAAAUGGGCUGGUAACCGCGGUUACCCAAACCCAUAGGUAUUUUGCCCAUCCCUAGUUGUGGUUGAGGAUUUGAGGGACGAAAUUGUGGGGUUCAAAUGUGGCAAUGCAGGGUGGUUUUAGGGUCGAAAGAGGAUCGCAUUCCGUGAGUAGGCUUGUAGACGUUGAAAUUUCAGUAAAAUAAAUGCUCACCAACACCUUAAAUUUUGACAUGCAUGGGCUUACGUGGCAUGCACCGUUGGUCUCACAUAUUGUACACAUUACAUGUGACUCAUCAAAACUAGACGAGUCAUUAAGGAAAGUAAUUAAGGAAUUAUCUUUAUUAAUUAUUUAAUUAAUUUUAAUUUAAAUCAAAACAAAUUAAUUGAUUUAAAAUGUCAACCAAACCCAAAAUCAAGUCUUGUGUUCUUUCGUCAAUGAAUCAAGUCCACAAUCAAUGUCAAAUCUAGUCGUAGGCAAAGACUUGGAGAACCUAUAAAUACGCGACUUCAAGACAAAUAAAAGGGUCAGAAAUACAUCCAAACACACAGAUGCUCAAACUCCCAAAUUACCAAACACUCAGAAAGCUCUUGCAUUCUUCGCCACACUUGUGAAGCACCCCUACACAUGUCCAUUCUUCCAUCACCACUAGCCAAACCCUUCCGGCAUCCGUUCAUUCAAGAUCAAGUUAUCGUGAUCCUCGGAUCAAAAACACCCCCAUUUUUCACUCCGAAGAUUGAAUAUGUGGAUUCAAGUUUUGUAAAGAGAUUGUAACUUUAAAUUUAUUAACACAAAUUAUUACUUUGUACUCAUAUUCUUGUGUUAUUUGUUGCAGGAAUCUCGUGUUUACAAAGCAAUUGAGGGUUGAUUGUGAUUUUGUCAGCCUUGAGAAUGGAACUGACGGGGCAUUGUUUGGUGGAUCAAGUAAAUGUGAUGUUGAGGGUAAUUAAAAAUGAUCGUUCAUUUUUAUGUAUUUGCUUCAAACUAUACUCGUGCUACCUUUAUAUAUGUAUUCUUUUGACUUGCGAUGUAGCUCACUUGACUAAAAGCAUUUAUUCACACUAGUAAAAAAAAAUCCCUUGUGCAACGAAGCACACAUUAUCGCGCAAAGUUACUUUGUGUGACGAAAUUUUAAACUUCGUUGAGCAAAGUCCUGCACGAUGAAAUUUUAUGCGACGAAACACACAUCGUCAUGCAAAGUCACUUUGUUCGACGAAAAUUUAAACUUCAUCAAGCAAAGUCUUUACAAAAAUAAAUAAAAUAAAAUAAAAUUUUAAACUUUUACGUGACGAAAUCUAAAUAUUUCGUCGCCUAAACCCAAUUUAUUUUCUUUUUAUUUAACUUUAUAUUUUAAAUUGUAAAAUAAAUUAUUUUUAUAGUUUUUUUUUUUUUUAACUUUGUGCGACGAAUAUUAAUGUUUCGUCGCCUAAAUCCUAUUUAUUUUAUUUUUAUAUUUUAUAUUGUUAACCUAAAUUAUUUUCUUUACUUUUUAUCAUUUUCUUUGCGUGACGAAUCAACAUUUUGUCGCCUAAACCCUAUUUAUUUUAUUUUAUUUAUAUUUUAAAUUGUAAAAUUAAAAAAAAAAAUUUAAACUUGCGCGACAAAUACUAAUAUUUCAUCACAAAAACCUUGUUUAUUUAAUUUUUAUUUAAUUUUAUAUUUUAAAUAGUCAAAUAAAAUUUAUUUCUAUAAAUUUUGCAUGACGAACCAAUAUUUCGUCACACAAAACCCUAAAAAUUUGGGUGGGCACCAAAAAUGGGGUGCGGGAAUUUUUUUUUUAUAAUUUUUUUAAGACUUUGUGCGACCAAUCUUUCGUCGCGCAAAAUCGUAUCCUUCAUCGCGCACAGUGAUACGGAUUUUAAAACCAAAAUAACUCCUCCAAAAUUUUCUCAAUGUAUCUCUCUAGUUCUCUUACCUCUUCUCUCUUUCCCUCACCCCAAAUCCGACCCCCUCUCUCUCUCUCUCUCUCUCUCUCUCUCUCUCUCUCUCACUCUCUCAUUUUUCCCUAUCUCUCACUUACUCCUUUUUCCCUAUCUCUCACUCACUCUCAAUCUUGCCAAAAGGUAUUUUCUCUCUAAACUUUAAUUUAUUUCUCAUUAAUAUGUGUUUUUGGAGUUAAUUUUAGGUUUGGGUGGGGUUUGGGGUCGAGUAUAGGGUGAGGGGUGGAGUUUGGGGUAUGCCGAUUUUAGAGGAGGUUAUGUCCAUUUUUUGGUAUUAUUUUAUGUUGUUCUUUUGGUUAUUUGACCAUUUUUUUUUUGUUGGGAAUCGUCUGGACUUUGACGGUGAAAGUUGAGCAGUUGAGGAUUAUGACGCUAUCAAACCAUAUCCCCCGCCACCACCACCACUACAAUAGACUUGUAUUAGGAUUUUAUUAUUGUAAUUUGUUAAUUUAUAUGUACCUUUUGAAUAAAAUGUAUAUUAUGGAUAAUUUGAUCACUAUUUUUCAUAUGCAAUUUUAUUUUAAAUAUGUCAAUUUAAAUUAAAGUAAUUAAAAAAAAUAAAGCCAUAUAAUUAAAUUAAAUUUAAAAAGUAAAAAUUCAAAACAUCUUGCGCUACCAAAUAUUACGUCACACAAACAAUUACUAUAAUUAAAUUAAUAAUAGAAAUAAUAAAACAAAAAGUCAAUUUAAUUAAACAAAAAAAUAAAAACCAAAAACUUUCGUCACGCAAAAUCUUGCGCUACCAAAUAUUUCAUCACGCAAUAUAUUAAAUUAAUUCAAUUAAAUCAAAAAAUCAAAAACUUUGCGCAACAAAAUGUUUCGUCGCACAAAGUACCAUCACAUGACGAAGAUUAAUUUUCAUCACGCAAACACUAUCUUCACGAGCUUAGCGCAACGAACCAUGCGCGACAAAAAAUUUUUGCGCAAGGUUUUAAGCGACGAAAUCUUACUUUGCGCAACAAAUCUUAUUUCGUCGCGCAAAGUGUUUUUUGUAGUAGUAUCGUACACUCGAAGUCAUAAGUUCUAUUCCCACUUCCCCCAAUAUUUGCUUGCAUAAAAAACUCUUGUAAAAGUCUAAGGUUCUAGUAAAUAAAUGUGACUACUUAAGUGCAUCAGUUAUAAGGAAAUAGCUAUCGUUAGAAGGUCUAAACAAACUAAAAAGUGUCAUAUUCCAACAACUUGGAUGUCCUUGUAAUUUUUAUUUUCGUUUAAAAGAUAAAUGAAAAAGUUCGACAAUCACCCAAUAACACUGUUACACAUUAGACGAAAGUAAAAUUAAUUUUAAUUUAUUUAAAAAUAAAAAAUAAAAAAUAUUAUGUGAUUCAAAAUAUUCUUCUUAACUUGUAAGUGAAAUAUUUUAGAUUCAAAUCCCUUGUAAAAAUUCAUUACUAGCUAGGGAGCUCUAGAGUAAUGAAUACAAGAUUUCUUGUCAUUUUUUCUAUAAGAUAAGUUUGAACAAAAAUCUCAAUCGUCAACCCACACUCAUCUCAUGCCAUUUGAGAAAGUCUCAUGGGUAACUUAUUUACAACGCACGACAAAACCAAAAAACAAAAACAAAAAUUUAUGGGAAAAUUAGGUUCACAUCCUUUUUUUUGUUACUCCAUUGAUUAAGAUUCUAUUCAUUUUCAAUUUUUGAUCAAAGUCCUUGGGUAUUAAUAACAUCAUUAAUUAUUUGAAUGAUAAAAUAUUUUUUAUUUUUAAAUAUAUUCCUUUAGUGUUAAAAAUGUUAUAAUUAGUAUAUUUAUAUUUAUGGCUAAAUUUUUUAUCAUAUUUUUUUUUUUAGUUUGUACCUAUUUUUAAUUUGCAAAUAUUUUUUAAUUUGUACCAAUUUUCUUUUCAUUUUUAAUUUGUACCCAUAUAUUAGUUUCUUUUUGUGCCCAUAUUUUUUAAAGUUUUAUUUGUGUUUGUACCCAUGUGUAAACCGUCACGUAACAUUGUAUAUUUAAUCAAUGAUAGAAACAUUACAUAUGGUAUAUUUAUGUUUUAUGCCUAAACUUUGUAUCAUAUAUUUAUAUUUUUAGUUUGUACCCACUUUUAAUUUGCAACAUUUUUUUUAAAUUUGUAGUAUUUUCUUUUUAGUUUUAUUUUGUACCCAUGUAUUAAUUUCUUUUAGCGCCUAUAUUUUUUAAAAAUUCAUUUGUACUUAUAAUUUUUAAUCUUUUAUCUGUACCCUAAUUUAUUUAUAAUGUACCCAUUCUUCUUUAUUAAUGUACCACUUUGUUAUAUAUGAAAUGUAAAAUGUACCAAUUUUUUUAACACUAUGGAUACAUUCUUUUGCCAUUUAUUAUUUCUUAUUUUUACAUAGUUUUUAUCCAUUUAUUCAAUCAAAAUGUUUGACUUUUUUUAUUGUAACCGUUUCUAAUAGUAUUAUAAUGAGGGAUUUUAAAUUUAUAAGAUUAUAAAUCUCAAAAAAUAUCAAACAAUUAAUGUCAAAACUAUAAAAAUAUUAAUAUUAAUAGUCAUAUAAUGAGGUGUACAAAGUUAAGGGACCUUGAUCAAACUUUGAAUACUAUUAAGGUUUUAAUCAAAGAAUGUUAAGGAUUAGGGGCCGCAUCCAAAGUAUCCCAAAAUUUAUUCACAACGAGUAAUUGGUUUAUUUUCAAGAAGAUGUAGCACAAGCAAGAGGCUGCGCCACGUUGUUGAUGGUGGGCUUGAUAUGUUUACAUUCAGACGUAAUAGAGCCUUCUUUUCCAGUGUAUGUGAGAUCAAUGUUACUCAAUUCCACAUUCUCACAUGGCAGCCCUCCACUGCAUACAAGCUUAAUACCAACUGGGGUUGAAGAUGAACCCUUUAUGUUCUUGAAGCUGACAUUGCUGAUCUUAACUUUGGAUGGAACCUGCAUACAAUGAUACAAUAAUAGUAUUAUUAUAAAGCACUUUUACUGUUAAAUAUUUUAUAUAAAAUUGUUAUUAUAAAUAUGUCGAAGAAGUUAUUACAAAUUCAGUUUUUUUUUUUUUUUUUUUUUUUUUUGAAAAAUGCUAGAAGUGUGUUUGGUUGAUAGAAAAUUUUUAAAACCCUUUCAGAAACAAUCAAACGGUGCACUCAGGUAUUUAUUCAAAAUAGUUGAGAUUGGGGUCAAGAGAUCAAACGGUCGUCGGUUGUAUUCUAUUAUUCAAGAUUAAGUAUUUGACUAAGUAAUAAAGAAAAUAUGAUGUAACUUUGGUACUGUAAAAUAGUAUACCUGAAGUGUGCACUGAUUAUAUGGGCAAUACUCUUGGUCUAUGAUGACAGGGUUUUUAACAUUAUCCAUGAUAAUAUCCUCAAAGUGAACAUCUGAGACAACGCCAUUUGCAGGGGAAGCAGGCCAUGUUUUGAUCCUCACACCAUUAUCUGUAUUUGUAAUUGUGCAGUUCUUGAUAAAUAUUCCAGACACAGGUUCUUCAUUCUCAUACUUUCCGAGGCUCCCGAUGCUUAUGCCGUGGCCUGGUCCACAAGUAACGUUGGUUACAUGGAGUUGCUUGGUGCCAUCACCAAUAGAGAUGCAAUCAUCCCCAGUUCCAAUGGUCGUAUCUGUGAUGUUGAUCCCAGUUGAACGUCCGAUAUGAAUUCCAUCGGUAUUGAUGCUUUCUUUAGGCGCUGAGACGGUAAAAUGUUGGAAUGCCACAUUGUUGCAACCCAAAAGAUUUACGUGGAAAUUUUUGCUGUCUUUUGUUGUUAUGUCUCGAAUUAUGGAAUUGGUGACAAAAUUGAAUCUCAGAUUCUGCGAAUAGUGUGAAAAAGUUAAAACAUAUACAAACAAGACGAGUAAUAUUUCUUGCCAAAGUUAUGUUGUCAGGAAAAAUUCUUAUAUUAUCAUACUGUGAAUAAAUAUUGCAGAUUACCAACAUGUUCGAUGGCUUAGAUUUGCUCCCUGACAUAUACACCUUUUUCACAUAUAUGGGAUCAGCUAUCAGGCACCAUAUAUUCAUAGAAGAGUAUGAUCAACCGUAUAGUUUCACAAUCUAGCAAUAGAUUUUAAUUAUAAAAGAACAAGAUUUAAAUUAUCUUACGAUAGCAAUAGAUUUGCAAUUUUUGUUUUUGUUGCAGUCAUUUUGCUUCCAAGCAGUUGCUCCUAGGCCAUCGAAAGUUCCACCACCGGAUAAGGUGAGCCCAUCAAUGCGCUCAAAACCUAUCCAAGUAUCUGCUUUUGGGAGUUGGCUGCCAUCUUCUGGAGCCUGCAAUGUGCCCUGAAGCUGAAACUCAAUAGGGGCUUUGCAUGGUCCUUUGAAAGUUGCCCCUACAAACUUGUAUGUCCCACUUGGAACCACAAUUUUACUUGCCGAUGUCGAUGCACAUGCAUCUGUCCAAGCUUUGCUCAAAGCCUAAUUAAAACAUUGAAUAAAAAUUAAAAAUUGAAAUGAUUCUGUUUAAUUACCCAACAAUUCUAGAACGGAAAUGAUUUUCCACUUAUUAAUUUUCCCCAAGCAUAUUUAUUUCCUACUUCUAAAUUAAACAAAUCAAAAGAAAAAUCAAUAAACAAGAACAACAAUGUGCAAAGACCAAAGAGUGUGUACGGAAGUAAUUUCUGUUCUAACUCGAAAUAUUAGUUUAAAAAUUCAAGAAGAAUUACAUGCAUACAUAUAUAAUGCCUACCUGGGUAAUAUCAGAGUUUGCUUUUCCACCAUAAUUUGCACUUGUUACAUCAUAGACACCAGAUUGGGCAUUAGAUGUGGAUACUAACAACAAGGACACAAACAUUGGCAAGAUAUUUUUCAGUUUCAAAUCCAUCUUGAGUUUUCAAUUCGGAAUUAGUUUCUUACGUUUGGAAGUUCGAUGAAAACUUUAUUUUGGUUUCAUCAGAACUUUAUUCUCACAUUGGAAAGCUUAACGCCCUCAAAUUACUCAACCAAUUAUUAGCUAUUUUUAUGGAAGAUGCCUCAACCCCAAAAACCGUGCACGAAAAAAACUAGCCGCCGUUGAUUUAUUCAAAAGAAAAGCUUAAUUAAGAGCUUGAAAUUCCUCACAAAAUUUCUUCCAAGACAGGGAAAUAACCCCGAAUUAAGAUGCCUUAAUUAAGAUGUUUAAUUGCAAUGUAGUUCAAGAAUUGUAUCCUAUAAUUAGUAAUUAAUUAAGCUGCUUAUAGUUUUAGAACAUCAAUUACCACCACUACGUAUGGCCCUCGGCUAGUUCAGUGUUCAUUACCACUUCUUUAACAUAUUGUUCUCCAUGCUGCCCCUCCAAGUCAGUACUCAAAUUGUUUCUUCCAAGCAAACCCUAGUUGCUGCAGCCACCAGCACCCCGAUCAACGCCAACUCCACCACCGCGACACAACUACAACUUGUUUAAACUUGACGGCAUUACUUGUGGGAAUCUUCAACAAUUCUUCACAUCAUAGCAUAAUAUUCCAGCUCAACUCCAUCUCGGUCUCUCCCGUUAUAGUCUACUCCUCUUCACUGACCGCAAAUUGGUACAUCACUUUACUCAAUUACAAAGACAUGAGCAUCUACUAUGACUUACUCAUGCAAGUCUCGGUUUUCUAUCACAAGGAGUUUCUCUCCAUGACUAAUGUCGUCGCUAACGGUUGUACCAAGAUCCAAUUCGUCUGAAGAAUGAGACGCAAGUGCAUGCCAGUGCUUUUGCCUCGUCGGUGUUUGUCAAGGAUCUAGUUGUGGCUGCUAUGUUUGAGGAUUUCAGGGAUGGAAACGUGGGGUUCGACGUGGCAGUGUAGGGUGCUUAUAGGGUGUGGAAAGAGGAUCGCAUUCCGCAAGUAGGCUGUUGAGUAGGGGUGGGUUUAAAAAACCAAAAACUAAAAAAAAAUCGAACUGAACACCGAACCAAAGCCGGAAAAAAAAAAAUCAAACCAAGUGAACCGAAUCGAAAUAGGUUGGUUUGGUUUCGGUUUUGAUGGUCCAGAAACCGAACAGGAUCGAACCGAACCGAUUUAUAUUUAAUUAUUUAAUUGGGUUAAUCUCAGUUUACUAUCAUGAAGCUUCUUGGUUUUCAACAUUUAAUACAUGAAGUUUUUUUCAUCCUAGAGUGGUAUAUAAAGCCAUAAUUUUGGGACACUUUCAUAUAUCCGUUAAGUUUUCUGUUAAAUCAGUGGUUAACUGGUGACAUGGCACUCAUAUGGACAGUGACUAGGCACCACGUGUCAUCGGGGCCCACAUAAAUAUUAAAAAAAUUAAAAAAAUUAAAAAAAAAUGUUUUUGGGCCUUCCAACUUAACCCUCGACCCCCUCCCUCCCUUCUCUCCACUAAGCCUUCCAGCUCCCACCUCCUCCUAACCGCUGGCGAUCGCCAAGGCUGCAUCAUCCUCCUCGACCUCCACCUGUCUCCCAUCCUCUGGUUCGAUACCGACUCCUCCCCCUCCAAACUCGCCAUACAGGACCUCGCAUGGGUCCAGGCCCGACCUGACUCCUUCUACAUCUCCUCCAUCUUCGUCUACAACAACUCCACUAGCAAGGAGCUUGCUUUUCCCCUCCACGGUUCGUAUUGCAACUCUCAUUCAUCUUCUCACUAUAGUUUUUCCCCUCCAUGGUGAUUCACUGAAACGAAUCCAAACAACUCACUCACACUCAGUCACUCAUCUCUUUCCCCCUAUCUCUCCAUUUCUCUCUUUAAGGUUUUAGUUUGGGUUCAAUUGGAGUGGUCCGAAGAUCAAAAAAGGCGGCAGUGGCGGUGGGGAAGCAGAGGCAUCGGAGGAGGUGAUGGUGACCGAUUAGCUAAUGGUAUACAGAGGGGCGAAGAAAGAGAGAAGGUGUACGGCAAAAGAGCACAUCAGCAAAAUGCCUUUGUGCGCUGCUGGAAAAUGUAGCUCCAUUUACCGUGGAGACACUCGGUAAUUAAGCUCCUCUUUCUCUUUCUGUUUGGUUGCUGAGAAAAAAAAAAGAAAGGAAUUUUGAUUAGAUUUUGUUGAUGCACAAAAUCAGUGGGAACUUUGAUACAACAAAAAAUGUUAAGUUUGUGACCUUUGCUAAACUACUCUGGUCACUAGUGUGGAUAAGUAUGUAAAUGGAUAAAGACAGGGAAGCAAACACAAGAUGUACGUGGUUCACCCAGAUUGGUUACGUCCACAGAGUAGAGGAGUUCUCAUUAAUUGUGAAGGGUUUACACAAGUACAUAGGUUCAAGCUCUCCUUUAGUGAGUACUAGUGAAUGAUUUAGUACAAAUGACAUAAGGAAAUAUUGUGACAGAAUGAUCUCUAUUUAUAGAAGAGAGUUUCUAGUUUCAUUCUGACAUUGACACGUGUCGUGUUGUGAUUGGCCUCUGAUGUCGACACGUGUCACGUUAUGAUUGGCCUCUGAUGUUGACAUGCGUCGCGUUGUGAUUGGCCUCCUGAUUGGAGGGAGACUCUUGUGGGUCCUUGGCGGUAUAAUGUUGACCGGUGCUUAGUAGUUUCGAGGUUGGUCAAGUAUGGUACAAACAAAUUUGAUUAGGAAUUUGGGUAUGGAAAUGUAGGCAUAGGUGGACAAGUCAUUAUGAGGCUCAUCUCUAGGAUAAAAGUACUUGGAUUCAAAACCAGAAUAAGAAAGGAAUCCGAUGUCGUCAUCAAGAAGCUUCAGAUUCAAGCCAAAUCUGAUGUCGGCUGGUGAAGCUGUUGUAGAGAGAGAGGGAAGAGAAUCCGGAGAUGAAGGCAAAGAGGUAGAAGUCGGGUCGGGCCUGGACCCAUGCGAGGUCCUGGAUGGCGAGUUUGAAAGAGGAUGAGUCAAUAUCGAACCAGAGGAUGGGAGACUUGAGGCGGAGGUCGAGGAGGGUGAUGCAGCCCUGGUGAUCGCCAGCGGCGUGGAGGAAGUGGGAGCUGGAAGGCUCAGUGGAGAGAAAUGAAGAAGGGAGUCGGGGUUGAGCUGGAAGGCCCAAAAACAUUUUUAAUUUUUAAUUUUUUAAUAUUUAUAUGGGCCCUGAUGACACGUGGCACCUAGUCACUGUCCACGUGAGUGCCAUGUCACUAGUUAAUGGCUGAUUUAACAGCAAACUUAAUGGAUAUAUGAAAGUGUCCCAAAAUUGUGACUUUACGUACCACUCUAGGAUGAAAAAAAAUUCAUGUAUUAAAUGUUGAAAACCAAGAAUUUCAAGGUAGUAAACUGAGAUUAACCCUAUUUAAUAUAUAUUAAUUAUAUAAAUUAUAUACAAAUACUCAAAAUCUAGAGGCAAAAGUUUUUGAACCCCUUAUACCUCCUGGUUGAGAGUUUUUUGCUUCAGCCAACUUGAUAACAAGCUUUGUGUAGUUAUAAUCAUAUUAGUAAAAUAUUUAUACUGAUUCUAGAGCUUUAAUUCUUUAUAAGAUUUCUAAACACAAAACCCUAGCCGUCCCAUUUACUCCCAUUUCAUCUCCUUGUUCUGACUUAUCAGCCUCUCUCUUCGACCUUUGAAUUCUUGCAUCUCCAUAAUUUCUUUGUUGAACGCUCGAAUGUUUGCAACUACAAGCGAUUUAUACAAGGAUUUGCAGCAAUCCAUUCAUCAUUUUCAGGUGGGUCACCGCCGCGAUGCCAAAUUCAAGAAGUUCAAGUUUGAAAACGGUGCUCUCGCUGUAUCAAUUUCAUCUAUUUUGUUUCGAAAACGGUGCUCUCGUUGUAUCAAUUUCAUCUAUUUUGUUCCCAAUCUUGUAAAUUUGUUUAAUUUGUGAUUGAAUGAUUGGGUUCAUAAUCAUUACCCCUGCAAUGCUGAUAAGCAAUGCACAAACGUGGAGUUUUCUUAUAUGUAACCUGACCAGAACUCAUAACCCUUUUGAUGCAAAUUUUGAAAUGUGCAUUUUUUGUGCAAAUUGGUUCUGAUUGGGUUAUGAUGCAUCUGUGCAAUGUGCAUUUUUGUGCAAAUUGGUUCUGAUUAGGUUAUGCUGCACCUGUUUUGCUUUUCUUGAUUGUGCAUGCCUCCCUUUCUGAAUGGUUCUUGUUCCUCCACUCUCCAUCAUAAUUAAAAGAAAUUGUUGCAGAAAAGAGGAAGAAAACAAAUGGCAGAUCUUGAAGAUGCAGGGUCCAUUAAAAUCUAAAAUUUUAUGUACCCAAAAUUGCAAUGAUGAAGAUUAGAGCAAUGCAAGAGUGUUCAGAGCAAAGAAGAAUCUAAAAAACCCGAACCGAUUGGAAUGUGAUUGUUCUACACUAAUUGGAAAUUUUUAGGAAUUUUUUUCACCAUUGAAGAAAAAAAAAAAUCGAACCGAACUGAAAUCGAAUCGAAAAAAAAAAGAACUGAAAUUUCAAUUCGAUUUCAGUUUUAGCAAAAAAACAGAACCCAACCCUACUGUUGAGGGUUGAUUGUGAUUGUCAGGGUUGAGAUGUCAAACAAUGGAACUGAUGAAGCCUUGUCUGGUGGAUCAAGUAAAUUUGAUGUUGAGAUCAUUUUUAUGUACUGCUUCAAACUAUGCCCGUGCUACCUUUAUAUAUGUAUUAUUCUUUUGACUUCCAUUUAACUCAAUUGACUAAAAGCAACUACCCUAUAUACUCAAGAUCUCAAGUUCUAUUCCCACUUCUCCCAAUAUUUGCUUGCAUAAAAAACUUUUGUAAAAGUUUAGGGUUCUAGUAAAUAAAAUUUGACUAGCUACUUCAGUGCAUCAGUUUGUUUGGACCCAAAUUUACACCAUCGGCCCGUGUAAUCAAGGUCAUUGAGUAAGCAUAGUUCUCAACCGUCAGAUGAAAAAGUGAAGAUAUUUUUAUUAAAGGAUAAUAUUAUGGUUUUUGUCAUAGUAAUUAUUUUUUAUUUUGGAUUAUCUUAGCAUUAUAUCUUCGAACAAGUACAGUUCGAGUGAACUUGGGAUUACUGCUAUCAGACUGGAGAAACUUGGUAGAUGAGGUUUGAAAAGUCAUGGUGCAUGCACAGAUGGAUUAUGAAGAAGUCUAGAUAGGCUUGGCUUUAGUGGUGAUGUGAUAAGUCUAAGAUUUAAUAGUCUUAGAUAAUGAUGACAAGCCUAGGUAGGCUAGGCUAUGAUGAUAAGACUUUUAUUUGAAUAGGCUUUUGUGAGGUUUGGAAAAUCGUGAACAUCUAUCUGAAGGAUAUGGUAGUUCUCUGAUGCGGAUUAAUUUCAGUUCCGUGGAAAAGAAUUGCAGUUGGACUCUACAAGCAUCAUCAGGCUGUGCCAGGUAGAUAUCAAACGCUAUAAAUACAUGAAGGUUGUGCAGCAUUGAGGACAACUCCAACUCAACACACAAACUGCCAUGCGCAAACCCUCGCUCUACGCGAAACCUCUCAACAACCUUGAGAUUUUUAUUUUCCUUUUUCACCAACACAUCUUCAGUUUGGAUAAACAGCACUGUGAAGGCAACUGGCGAACAUCUUCAGUUUAAAUAAACAGCACUGUUGCCGUAGAAUCAGCUGACCGUAAAGCACCUUUAGUUUGGAUAACCAGCAUUGCGACAGGGUCGACUGGUUAUCUAUCCAAGUCUCGAUCGAGAAGGAUUUUCGAAUCCUUAUUGGCAGAGGUCAUCUCAUUAGCCUUUUCGACGAAGUGACGUGUUACAAGUUAUUACAUUCGGCACAUUGGAAGCUGAAUUUGAUAUUGAACUUCGCAGAACUAGCAGCCUUAUCUUCAGGCUCUAGAAUCCGAAGGCCGAGAGUGUUCCUUCCUCGGCCGCAGUCGCGAGAUUCAUAAGUCAGCAGCGUACCCAACGCAACAUCAACAAAUUUUACUCCUCGGCCGACGAGUUGGCACGCCCGCACAUAACCGAAUGACGUAGUUAGCUUAUUAAUUACUCGGCAUGCGCGCCACGUAGGCUUGGUAGUUUUUAGGGUCAACACAGUUAUAAGGAAAUAACUGUCGUUAGAAGGUCUAAACAGACUAAACAGAGAAUGUCAUAUUCCAAAAACUUGGAUGUCCUUGUAAUUUUUGUUUUCGUUAAAAAAAUGAAAAAAGUUCGAUAAUUACCCAAUAACCCUGUCACAAAUUACACGAAAGUAAAAUUCAUUUUUAUUUAUUUAAAAAUAAAUAAAAAUUAACACAUAAUACUAUGUAUUCUUCUUUUAGCUUGUAAAUGAAAUAUUUUAGACUAUUCACUACAAGUUAGAGAACAAUGGAGUAAUGAACACAAUUCUUGUCAUUUUUUUAUAAAGUGAGAUUUGAACAAAAAUCUCAACCGUCAACCCACAGUCAUCUCAUGCCAUUUGAGAAAAGUCUCAUGGGUAGCUUAUUUACGACGUACAACAAAAAUUAAAAUAAAUAAAUAAACACUUGUUUAUAAGGAAUAAUUGGUUUCUUUUCAAGAAGAGGUCGCGCAAGCAAGAGCCCGUGCCACGUUGUUAAUGGUGGGCUUGACAUGCUUACAUUGAGAGGUAAUAGGGCCUUUGUUUCCACUGUAUGUGAGAUCAAUGUCACUUAGUUGCACAUUCUCACAUGGCAGCCCUCCACUGCAUACAAUCUUAAUACCGACUGGGGUUGAAGAUGAGCCCUUUAUGUUUUUGAAGCUGACAUUGCUGAUCUUAACUUUGGAUGGAACCUGCAUGCAAUAAUAGUAUUAUUAGAAAACACUUUUUCUCAUAAAUAUAUUUAAUAAAUAGAUCAAAAAAUUCAAGUGGAUUUUCGAAAAACCGGAGUGCUUCCUGAAGACAUGUACUAUUCCAGAAUGAACUCAGGUAGGUAGUCAUUCAAAGUAGUGGAGGUUGGUGUCAAUAGAUCAGAUGGCCAUCGGUUGUAUUCUAUUAUUCAAGAUUAAGUAUUUGACUAAAUGAUAAAGAAAUUAUGAUGUUAAUUUUUGUGCAAAAUAGUAUACCUUAAGUGUGCACUGAUUCCAUGGACAAUACUCUUGGUCUAUGAUGACAGGGUUUCCAACAUUGUCCAUAAUAAUAUCCUCAAAGUGAACAUCUGAGACUACACCAUUUGAUGGAGAAGCAGGCCAUGUUUUGAUUCUCACACCAUUAUCUGUAUUUUUAAUUGUGCAGUUCUUGAUAAAGAUUCCGGACACAGGUUCUUCAUUCUGAUAUCUUCCGAGACUCCCGAUGCUUAUGCCAUGGCCGGGUCCGCAAGUAACUUUGGUUACAUGGAGUUGCUUGGUGCCAUCACCUAUAGAGAUGCAAUCAUCCCCUGUUCCAAUGGUUGAAUCUGUGAUGUUGAUCCCAGUUGAACGUCCGAUAUGAAUUCCAUCUGUGUUCAUGCUCUCUUUAG
rnacentral:lncRNA from 1 species